AUCAACUUUUGUAUGCCAACAAGAUGGAGCCCAGCCACAAUGAAUCUAAAUGAAAUAUUUUUUCCCUGGAGCGCCCCUAGAGACAUAAAUGAAUUAUACUCUUAUGUGCCCUCCUCAACAGGAUCACUACAUUAUCAGUAUUGUAUUCCAGGAUUUGCUUGUCUUCAGGUAAGAGAACAUGAAAUGAUUUACAUGUUAGAUAAAGUCUCAGAAGAUAUACAUGAAGGUCUCCAUGUUAUAUAGUUCGAAUACCAUGUCAUAAACGUUUUAUUUAUUAUUGUAAAAGAACAUAUUCCCCACUCCAGAUAUAUUUCAAUUUUUCCUCACAAAAUUACUUUGGAAGUAAAAGUAAAAUAAAACAAUUUUCCCUCCCAGUUUUUCCAGUUUUCUUUAAGGCUUUCCCGUUUUGAUCUAAGAGUGAAAUAGGGAAGACCCAAGGUGUAUGUAUCUGGCUUGCAGAUGCUGGAUCCUGUCAUAAACUAAAGGUAGUUAUGAGUUUUUCUCAUUUUGGUUAUUUAUACUUCAUUUAACACAAUCCAUUUCCUUUCAAAAUUUGAUGAAAGGAUCAUUAUAUUUAAAAAAAAUGAGGUGACGGUGGUCCUUUAAGUUUAAGGCACAAUUAAUUUCAUUAACUAAAGUCACCAUCAAGGAUAUUUAAAAUUUGUGGGAAGUGUUGUUUGGAAAGAUAUAUAUUUAAUGUCAAAUAAUCUGUUGGGAACUUUGUAUGAAAACCCAUCAAUGAUUAUAUAUUAAUUUCUGAAUGGAACGCACAUCUCUCAGUUUGUUUGUCCAAUUUGAUGCCAAUUAUGUUACAUUAUGUCAAAUUGAAAUGACAUUGAUAUGAUGAGGAAAUUAAACAUAUGAAAAUGUCCUUGGAAGAAUUUAAAGAUUUACCAUCAUUUGAGUUAGAGCAUGAUCUUCAAGUUAAAUGUAACAAAUUUGAAGAAAAUAUUUCUGAACAGAAGAGUAAAACAUUCUAAUACAAACAAGACUAAGGGGAUGAUAAAGUGUACACAUGGUGUAUAGGUAAAAUAUGUGUGAAGACACAUAAAGGAAUGAGAUUCUUUUAUGCUUUCAGUGUUUCUUUCUCUGGCUCUGCUUCUUCUCCCCAACUCCUCUCUGUUGGUGUACCCCAAGGUUCAGUCCUUGGUCCCUUAGUGUUCCCUUGGUAAACUCAUUAGCUCCUUUGGCUUCCAAUAUCAUUUCUAUGCAGAUGAUACGCAAAUCUACCUGUCCUCUCCUGAUCUCUCCCCGUCCCUCUUGACUAGUGUAUCUGACUGCCUCUCUGCUAUUUCUAACUAGAUGGCUGCCCACUUCCUUAAACUAAACUUGACCAAAACUGAAUUCUGGUCUUUCCUCCCUCAAGUGUUGUUACUUCUGUGCCUGUCUCCCUUCAAGUCAACGGUGCUACCAUCAGCUCCACCACGCAGGCUCGCUGCCUAGGUGUUCUUUGACUCUGACCUCUCCUUCAAGCCUCAUGUUCAAUCUAUCGACAAAUCCUAUCAUUUCCAUCUCAAAAACAUUGCACGCAUCCGCCCCUACUUAACGCCAGAAGCGACUAUGGUGUUGGUCCAUUCCACUUUCCUUUCUCGCCUUAACUACUGUAAUCCGCUUCUCAGUGGUCUUACGUGCUCCCAACUUGCGCCGUUACAGUCCAUAAUGAAUGCAACCGAGGCUCAGCUUCCUGUCCGUCCGCACCUCCCAUGCCUCACCCUUCUGUCAGUCCCUACAUUAGCUUCCUAUAAAAUAUAGAGCUCAAUUUAAAAUUCUGGUUCUUGCUUUCAAAUCUCUACAUAAUGCUGCUCCCACCUAUCUAGCCUCCCUUAUACACAAGUAUGUCCCGUCUAGGCCCUUACAAUCUGCUGAAGACUUACGUUUAUAUUCUGUCCGUACUCCCACCUCCCCCUGAUGCUUGCCUUCAAGAUUUCUCGGUGGCUGCACCGUUCCUGUGGAACUCGCUUCCCUUCUCCGUUAGAUGCUCACCCAGCCUCCACUCCUUCAAAAAAUCGUUAAAAACCCACUUCUUUAUAAAAGCGUGUCAAUUAAACUGGUAAUAGCUCCUGACUGAUUCCUCUUCUGCAACUGUCACUAGUCUAAUACUAUCCUUACCUUUUUGUGUAAUUUUACCCCACUCCCUCUAGCAUGUAAGCUCAUUGAGCAGGGCCCUCAACCCCUCUGUUCCCGUGUGUCCAACUUGUCUGGUUACAACUACAUGUCUGUUCAUCCACCCAUUGUUAAGCACUGCGGAAUUUGAUGGCGCUAUAUAAAUAUCAUAAUAAUAAUAAUAGUAAUGCUUCUCAACACGUUUCCUAUUCUGAAACCUGUCUGUAAUGUAUACUAAUCAAAGGGAAAUCUCACGAAUGACAAAAUCCCCUUAGUAAGUGAAUAACACCCUCCUCUAUUGAUAAAUAAAAGUUACAUAUUAUAUAUUGGAAAAGCAGCGACUCAGAGGGGAUAUGAUAGCAUUAUACAAAUAUAUCCAUGGCCAAUAUAAACCGAGGGGAUAUGAUAGCAUUAUACAAAUAUAUCCGGGGCCAAUAUAAACCAAGGGGAUAUGAUAGCAUUAUACAAAUAUAUCCGGGGUCAAUAUAAACCAUUGUCUUGAAAUCUAUUCAUAAACAGGACUAUACAUAGAACACAAGGUAACGCAUUUAGCCUGGAAGAAAAUAGAUUUAGUCUAGGGUUUUUACAGUAAGAUCAAGAAGGAUGUGGAAUUCUCUGUCGGGAGAAGUGGUUGUAUCAAAGUCUGUACAGAUGUUUAAACAGCAACUCUAUGAAUACUUGCAAAAAAAAACAUAAUAUUAAGAGAUAUCAUUUUAAAUUUGUGGGUUAACAGCUUCUUGAUCCAAGGAUCAUUUUGGGGACAUAAGAAUUUUUUUUUCUUGGUUUGUUUCAAAAUUGGAAGUGCUUAAAACUGUUUUUCCCUUCUUUUGGAUCAACAGCAAAAAGAGAGAGGCUGCCCUUGAUGGACUCCUGUCUCUUUUCAGCCUAGGUAACUAUGUAACUAGUUGCUCUACUUUCAUACAGUGAUUGUUAACUGACGGGGAUAAAAUAAACAUAGUGACCUAAUAUUCUGCCUUGUUUUAGGCACAGCUGCAUAUAUGUUAAGAAACAAUGGAAUUAAAGGAAAACUUUAAAAAAACAAAUUAAGUUAGGGAAUGAGACUUGCUCUGAAACUGGUGCACAUGGAUGCCAUACAAAGCCCUCUAUUAAAACAACAAUAUAAACAAUAUCUCAAUAAACCUGACAUAAAACCAGGAGCAAGUAUAUAGUGGUACUUUACAAUAUCUCAGUUGUGAGAGACAAUGGGGAAUAAAAACUGUACCAACGGUAUGUAAUGAGAAAAGAGUCCAAAUAAAUAAAACUCCAUUAAACUAAGUGGGUGUGAUUAAUGUUACAGUCUAAACAAAAGUUCAAAUUGUAACUAAUGAGUCCAUUAAGCAAUUUAUCUGAAAAUGUCCACAUGUAACAGUUUGUAUAUCAGAAUGUUGCAAUGUGUAAGAGAGAGGCUGAUAAAUACAAAAACACAUCAGCCUAGUGAUAACUGUAUCUAGGGGCUUUGCUCCCCGAUAUGCAGUCUCUAGAGAAAAGAAUCAGUUAGUAUUUUAAUUAUAUAUAUAUAUAUAUAUAUAGAGAGAGAGAGAGAGAGAGAGAGAGAGAGAGAGAGAGAGAGAGAGAGAGAGAGAGAGAGAGAGAGAGAGAGAGAUAUGUGGAUACUAAGGUUUACAUAUUCUGGAGACUAUUUGUGGUUGCCAUCAUAAGUGUUUCUUUUUUACUAUUGGAAGUGCUAUAUAAUUUAGCAAUCUUUGUGAACACGUUUAGGUUGAUGUGUUUUCAUAUUCAUCAGCCUCUCUCACAAAUUGCUUCAUUCUGAUUUGCAAACUAUUGCAUUUGAUUAUUUUCAGAUACAUGGCUAUAUGGACUGAUUACUAUUUGCACUUUUUACAUUUUUUUUGCUGUUAAGUUAAUCAAGCCCACUUACCUUAAUUAAGUUGUAUUUUUUUCUUUUUUAAUUCUCUAUUUUUCUGUGCAAGAGAUGUACAAGUAUGCAUGAAUUGCCACAGCAGACUCUUCCUAUUAUAUACAUCCCAAGGGCUGGAGGAGAAGAAACUGGGGGAAGGAGGGUAAUAAAACACACAGAGUGGCUAAGAGGGGCGAAAGAGACACACAAUGGGGGGAGAGGCACACAGAGGGCUGGGAGAGAAGUGGUGCACAGAGGGGUUGGGGGGACAAAGAGACAGAGGUUAGGGGAACCAAGGGACACACAGAUGACAUUGGGAACGACAUAGAGACGCAUAUAGGGGGGGGGGAGGGAAGACAUACAAAGGGGCUUUUUUUUAUUUCCCAUUGUCUCUCGCAACUGUAUCUUUAGUUUUUAAUAUUUAUUAUAAAGUACCACUAUUUACGUGUCUUAGUUUGGUUUAUGUUUGGAUGUAUCCUCUCUGAUUAUAGUCCCAGAGAUAGUAGAUAGCUAUAUACCCCAAUCUUACCUUGUCCUUAAUCAUCGUACAAUGGGUAAUGUGUGCUACAUGUGCAUAGGUCAUUUAACAGCUGUUUUUUACCUCAUAAUAAAAGCAUUUCCACUGGAACUGAGUCAAUAAUAAAGCCGGUUUGAAAACACUGAGUUACACUACAUAACUACAUACAGCUGUGCCUAAGACAAGGCAGCAUAUAAGGCCACUUUGUUUAUUUUUUAGUUUGAAAUUACUUUGUAUGAAUGUGGAGUAGCUAAUAUAUGCCACAUUUCUUAAAGGAACACUAUAGAGUUGGGAGCACAUAAUUGUAUUCUUAAUAAUAUAGUUCUCAUUUACCCCUGCGCCCCUCCCUGUUAAAAAUAUUUUCAGUCACUUACCUGAUUCCAACACCGAGGUCAUUUGGCACUGUCUGGAUUUUCCUCCUACUGAUGUACAUGCGCAAAGCUUGAAGACAUCCAGCCUUGAUUCACUGUCUUUAACUCUGUAAAAACAGCACCUUUAGUGGCAGUCCGGUAUACCAGAGGCAGUCUUAAACAUGCAAUGUAAACUUUGUUGUUUCUCUGAAACUGCAAUGUUUUCAGCUGCAUGGCUAGGAGGAACAGGAACACUGCACACUGACCACUUCAAUGAGAUGAAGUGGCCUGGGUACCACUAGUGUCGCUUUAAUCUGUAGAAGAGUGUGUGAUUUACUAGCUAAUGGAAUUUUCUCAUUCUUAAAGGUUUUCUUUUGAUAGUGUGGAAAGGGUCAAUGCCAGGAUACUCAAUGUUCAAAUCAAAUGGAAAGGUCACCAUCAGUACAGAAACAGAAAAUAUAAAAAGUGUCAAAUAUUGACAAGAAUCACCCCCCAAAAAACCGCAAAGAAAGCCUCUGAUAAUUUAUAAAGAGAUGAAGGAGGCAGGAGAUGUUUGAGGAAGACAGAUAAGAAGAAAUGCAGAAGAAGGGGCACAAGGCAACACUCCUCAUGUCAGACGAUGCAAAGUGUGCAUUAUAAAAUGUGGAAAAGCCAACAAUUGGAAAUGUGCUUUGCCUGUCCAUUGGGACUAAAGGUUAAUAAGUAUCCAAGGGUUUAAAAAAAUAUAGGUUUUAUUUUGCUCAAGCUGAAGGAAGCAUGGUGAAUAGUUAGUGUUGGACCCACCUAAGAGAUUUGCCUUGACGUGGCAGGUGGGCUUACAUCUAAUGGCCACCGGAGUGAAGCAAAAACCCAUCAUUUAUUUAAAUAUGCAUAGGGAUUUGAGAGAGUGCGCUGGUAACUAUUUUCUUUAGUUUAUUGUAUGUUUUGGGGCUGAUGUGUACUAUGGUCGUUGCUGUUGCCCAGGAAUAGUGGGAAUCUGAACUGUUUCCAGUCUCCCUAUUUAUUAUAGGGGUUCCACUUCAUAUAUAUAUAUAUAUAUAUAUAUAUAUAUAUAUAUAUAUAUAUAUAUAUAUAUAUAUAUAUAUAUAUAUUCACUUUAUUGUGUAUAUAUAUGUGUGUAUAUAUAUAUGUGUGUGUGUGUAUAUAUAUAUAUAUAUAUAUAUUCACAUUUAUCUAUAUACACAUGCAAAUGUUGUGAUACAGUCUGCACUAGUUUUUGUAUUUCUUUUUUGCAUUUUCAACUUCCUACAUGAGAAUGACAAAGUACGGAUAUUAAAGAUAAGUAUUAUGUAGGUUUGAGUGCACCCCCACUGUUUCUGGUGUUCUUUCCUGUGUGAAGGCAAAAGAAUAUUUAGGAAUUACCAGAUUUUUUUUACAAGACAUCAAGUUAAUCCUUCAGGUUUAUAUGAUUUUAAAUUUCUUAUUUCAAUUUCUCUGUCCUGCCCAUGGGAAAUUGUUGAAUCUUGGAAGGCCAAGUAUGAUGGAAGUUAGAGGUGUUGCUACUUUGAAUGGCACAAAGUUCUACAGAUGUAGAGCUUGUCGUAAUAAGCUCUCAUAUAUGUGAGUAGGACCAUUACCACUUUAUGUAAAGCUAUCUUGUUAAAUAACUCUAUUACACUUUAUAUAAUAUUAUAUUAUAUUUUUCUUACAUGUAAAUUCUAUCAAGCAUUGGGUGCAGGCCGUGAGCAAGAGAAGCACGGGAAGCUGGGUAAGAAUUAGCACAACAGCAAACCCCUGUCAUCCAUUUGAGGAGCAGUCCAGUAGGACCCAGUCCUCCCCUUUUAUAAUUUUUUUUUUCUUUAUAAUUGUUGUUUUGGUAUAAUGCAUUGGGGAAAAAUUCAUACUCAAGGUCAAGUUCUGAGGAAGGAUAUGAUGAAGAAUGGUUGUAGAUAAAAGGCGGUCAAGAUUUUAAGCAGCAUACAAUUAUACAACUAUAUAUCUACCUGCGUAGAGUAUAUUUUACUUUCUUUUCAUUAUUAUUUAAAAGCACUCCACUUUUUUUCAAUUGUUUUAAAAUAUAAGUGUUUUGAAGUGGUAAUAAUCACUUGGAUAUCUUGUAAAGCAUGAGGUUAAUCCUUGAGAUCUUUUGUGGUUUUGAAGCUAUAUGACUGAUUCUAAUCUUGUGAUCUUCUGUUUAAUUUAAAGGAUGUAUUAUUGUACCUCUGAUAUGACACACAAUUUAGGUGGAUAUAUUUAUAUAAGGUUAUGCCCCUCUGUAAAUUUGUGUGCAUUUGUUGCUUUAAAAAUGUAUGUGUUUUUAAUUUCUUUUUGCUCAGUUUUCCUUUGAGUAACUGAUUAUAUGAAGCAUUUCCAACUUUUUGUAUUUUAUUUUUUUAUUAGUAAUUUGGCUUUAGAAACAAGUCUUUACUAAAAUUCACACUUGGCGUCUAGCAAGGUCUAUAUGGUUUUUAUUCUCUAAAGUCUCGUUUGAUAUAACACCUAGAGUUUAGUAAGGCUUAUACGGCUUUUAUUAUUUCUCAAUAUACCCUUAAAGCGAUUAUUUGCCGUUCUUUCUAGCCUUUGAACUGAAUAUUUAUUAUUUUUAAUAUUAUUUAACCUUGCAUCCUUAUACUCCUUUCUGGAUGAAUGUUGUUACUGUGCUAAUCUGCUUUGAUGUUUUGUUACUUUUUUGUUAAAAACAUACUUACUUUAGCUUUGAGCCUUAAUUGCAACAUGUAUCUACUCUUUAUUUAGUUUUUUUUUUGUUUGUUUUUGUUUUUUUUGUUUUUUGUUUUGCCAUUAGUGUAUACUGAGGGAAUAGGGUGACCACUCCCACCUCCUCCGAUUGGUUCAAUAUGCAGGAGAGGUCACCUGUCACUCUUUCACAACCUGUGGUCUUUUGAUUGGAGGGCUUUAAUUGAAGGCAGUGUCUAUAUCCCCUUUAUAACUGCUUCCCGUGUCACUUACCAGGUAGCUCUUGACAAAGGCGUAUCUAAAACGCCGAAACGCACGUCGAGAUAUUUUCUAGCCGAUGCUAUUAUACUCAAUUGAUUUUCUUUACUCUCAUCUUUCAUUUACCUGGGUUUCCACAGCGCAUGUGUUUGCGCCUAUAUUUUCUCCUGAUACAGACUUAGGGAUUUGGAUAGGCUGCCACGAAGCAGCAGUUAGUUUUGCCGUUUCUUUUAGGAUAGUUAGUUUUUUAGGGUGACUCAGAGGGGGGGGGGGGGUUUCUAUCUUUCCUCUCUUUGUGGGGUAUUAGCUCCUUUUCUGUUUAAUAUAAGCUACUUGAUAUUAGUUUGGGCGCACCCCAUUAGUUGCUAUUAACCCUGCCCUUUCCAGAUUCUCUCAGACACUGCUCUAAGACUAUCCUUUUUCUAUCCAAUUACCCAGCUGGGUCCUUUCCUAGAAUGGAUUUAGACUAACCUGCUUUGUUACCCAUUUAUUAUUUUAGGUGUAUUUUUACACCUUUAUUAAGUCAAACAUACCUUGCAGGAUUAGCCUCUCCCAGGCUUUUAUAAGUUUGGUGGUUAACUUAGCCAAUGCUAUUAUCCUCAAUUGAUUUUCUUUACUCUCAUCUUUCAUUUACCUGGGUUUCAACAGCGCAUGAGUUUGUGCCUAUAUUUUCUCCUGAUACAGACUUAGGGAUUUGGAUAGGCUGCCACGAAGCAGCAGUUAGUUUUGCUUUUUCUCUUGGGAUAGUUUUUUUUUAGGGUGACUCAAGGGGGGGGGUUUCUAUCUUUCCUCUCUUUGUGGGGUAUUAGCUCCUUUUCUGUUUAGUAUAAGUUACUCGAUAUUAGUUUGGGCGCGCCCCAUUAGUUGCUAUUAACCCUGCCCUUUCCAGAUUCUCUCAGACACUGCUCUAAGACUAUCCUUUUCCUAUCCAAUUACCCAGUUGGGUCCUUUCCUAGAAUGGAAUUAGACUAACCUGCUUUGUUACCCAUUUAUUAUUUUAGGUGUAUUUUUACACCUUUAUUAAGUCAAACAUACCUUGCAGGAUAAGCCUCUUCCAGGCUUUUACAAAUUUGGUGGUUAACUUAUAAUCAAUGCACUAUUUUAGUGUAUGGUAAUAGUAUUUGGACUAUAUACCAUUUUAGCAUUUUUUUUCUAAUAAAGGUUGUUUAUCCUCUUCUAUGUGACUAUUUACAUUAUGAGGUACUUUGAAUGAGGCUAGGCAUUCCACCCACUUUUUUGUGAGUGGACUGUCUGCCCCAUUUUUCGUCUCUUUUUUUUACUAAAAUUCUUUCUAUCUGUUUUGCUACUGUGUCAAUAUUUUAACAUUGUUAUUUUUUUUUUUCGAUGUGCUUAGCGUAUCAAACGUGUACCUAUCACUUAGCAUAUCAUCUAGUUUUGUAUAAGAGGCAUUAAACAUUUGGUGUUAUUGUGGUUGUGCACAUUUUUAUAUUUUACCAUGAGUAUAUCCCCAUUAAGCGGUUGGUUAACUUGGUGUAUAGGUAUGUGCGUAUUUUCCUUAAUCUAGUAGUAAGGUGGACAGCAGUCUCGUCACAUAGUGUGGCAAUUCCUCCCCAUGGACGGUAGAAGGUAUGCCCCUUAUCUUAAUGUGGUUGCGGUGGUACCUGUCUUCUUGCGCCGAUAAUUGCAGUGAGAGGGCCUGUUGGGCUGUUUGUAAUUGUAGUAUGGAGGCCUUCAUUGCGGAUGUAUCAUCAAGGAUUUCUUUAACUUCAACUUCAGCUGCUGUCAUCCGCCGUGUCACCUGCUGAAUGGCCAUUUUCAGGACUGAAAGUCAGCAGUGAGAAGUUUCUGGAUGUCUUGGAGCAUGGUGUGUAGGGUUUGGAAGUCCUGCUUCAUUGCAAGCUCUGGGCAGCCAGCUGUUGCUAUGGAUUGGUGUUAUGUGCACUACGGCAGGCUCUGUGCCUGCAGGCGAGCCUGUGAUGCAGCAUGGGAGACUCCAGUUGGAGGUAAGGUUUCCGCGGCUGCCAUUUUGGCUGGAGUGUGCUGCUGGAGCAUAGCUCUGAUGUCCCACUGUUCAUUUGCGGUUCUGAGUUGAGGCUUCUGUGAUCUGCGCCCCAUGGAAAGAGUAGAGGGUCCAGUGUGAGGUGGCCACAGUUAUGCCGUUUCCCAGUCGAGGUCCCCGCUCAGGAGAUACUUGAGGUCACGACAUGCCAGCGUGUAGCAGGCCCCAUGCCUGCGUUUCGGCUUAGUUUGCUUCGGGGUGUAUAAUGAUUCCUUUUUGUUCCAGAAGUUUGGUCCUUAAGGGGAUAAAAAGGGCAUCGGGUGGUGCAGCAAGACAUCCCCAGUUUGUAUCUGCUGUGUGUGGGGUUGGAUGGUAGCAGGGUGCCGAGAUACAGCGUGGAUUAUGUGUUGGGGUGUGGGAGCCAGUAACAUUGUUCUUUUAAGUAUCAAUUGAAGCCUUUGUUGCACUGAUAUAUCUAAAGAGAGAUUACUACAAGCUGAAAGAAAGCAAUUUAAGGGUUAAAAGUGGAUUGGUAAUUGUUAAUUAUAUAUAAGCAUGUGCUGUGCUUCCCUCCUUAUGUUGUUGAGCUGUUUGAAUCCAGGCUUUUGUGGUUUCAGGUGAAGCGCUAAAUACACAAAAUGCAAAAAAAAAUGGUCCUGGUUUCCUGGUGUGGUGGUUCCCCCUUCACCUCCAUCAUACAUACUUUUAAAAUGAAAAUUUAUUUUUAGUUAUCUUGGAGAGUCAUGAUGUGUUCACUUGGUGUUCCUCAUGUGGAGUCUGAACGAUAUCUACAUUUGGAUCCUAAGCAUCUUCUCUCCAAUUACUAGAGAGGUAACUUUCUCUUGGUCACUCAAUUGCAACCCCUCAUACCUCUUUAAGCCCUUUCUUCUUUCAUACUUAACAAACAUCUGCAAUGUGUAUCUCUCUUUUGGUGUUUCACCAACAAACUUUAUACAUGCUAUUAACAUUCUAUCCUAAAAUAUGAAAAUCAGUUCUGAAAUUCUGCCGAUAUGAACUACCAUUUGGCUCAAAAUUGUGCAACUACUCUAACUUCUCAGCGAUUGUUCAUUUGGUUUUGAUAUUCCCUCCACCCAGCUAAUUCCAUCACAUUGAGUACCACAAGUCAAGCAUUUUUUGUCCCUUUCUGUUUUCACUCUACAUGUCAUCUCUUUUAAAACAAAUACAUUUGUGUUCCAUUAGCUCUUAAAUGCUAACAAAACACAGACAUGACACACAUUUUCGCCCACAACCUCUCUCAAGUGUUCUUGUAUUGUGUCACUAAUUGCAUAUUUUUUGCCUAUAACUUGAUGUUUGCCUGCUCCUUAAAAUUAAGACUCUCUAAAAUGUUUUAGUCUUCUGAGCGCUAGCUCAUUUUCAAUCUCCUUUAAAGUUAAUACAACCUAUAACCCCACUCCACCAGUUUGCUGCCUUACCAUAAUUUUUUACUCUACAAUCUCUUAUUUUCACAUCCAGUCAAUCUACUAAUUUUGCCACUUUCAGUUUAUAUAAUGUGGCUAGCAUACCGAAUACUGGAUGCUUUUGCCUUCUUUCAAUUGUUACUCACUUUUUUAAAUCACAGCUCAAACCUUUGCCUAUUCCUAGACCAGGGGUAGGCAACUUUCAGCACUCCAGAUGGCGUAGACUACAUCUCCCCUAAUACUUUGCCAACAUUAUAUCUGUAAGAACAUUAUUGGAGAUAGUCAAUAUUCUGUUAAUUAAAUGCAUGAUUGAAAUCUCCCAGCUACACCUCUGAUAGGUAAUCUUAAUAUCUCAGUAUGUGUAGUCUUCCAUAAGAAAUUCCAAGCACAGAAAAAGACUCCAAGCACCAUGAGCACUUCAAAUCACUGUAGUGGUCAUGUUACAUGGAGUAAUAAAUUAAAGUGAAAGUCAUAUCUGAACCUCAUAAUCAGUGGUACAACUAAAGUAGAGAGGGUCAUGUUGCAAGAUUGUUUUUGAUCCCCCAUACCCCCAAUGGCAGGGAUGGAAAAAGAUAGAUGGCUCUCUGUCCUACAACUCCCACAAUGCUUUGCCAGCUGGGGAUCUACCAUUUGCCUUGCAGAGUUGCAUUUAUCACUGAGCAGUAGCAUGGUUUUGUAUGGAUUAUGUGUGUAUGUAGCAGUGUAUUUGUGUGUAGUAUUGUCUAAUGUGUUUUUAUGUACUGUUGCCAUUUGAAAGUUUACAUGUGUGUAGUGUUUGCCUUUGAAUGUAGAUGUGUGUCUGUAUGUUGUGUUGAUGUGUGAAUGCAGGUGUGUAUUUAUGUAUGCACAUAUAGAUAUACACUGCCACACACACACAGAUACACAUACACACAGACACACAUCUGGAUGCACAGAUACACACACAGGCACACAUGCAGAUACACACAUAUACACAUACUAAUAAACAUGCAGAUACAUAGACAUAUUCAAUGACACACAUGCAGAUACAAACACAGAUACACACACAUGCAGAUACACAGACAUACUCAAUGAUACACACACAGAUACACACACAUGCAGACACACAGGCACACAGAUAAAUACAUUGACACACAUACAGACACACAUGCAAAAUUAUUACAAUUUAAGCCACCCUCUUGUGUUCUACCUUUUUGGUAGAGGGGGAUGGCUUCCCUGGAGUCCAGUCAGCUGCAUGAGGCUGUUGGAAGUUAGAGGCUCUCACACUCCGCACCCCUGCUCUCUGCUAUUUUCACCAGACACGGUUGGACCUAUGAAUCAUUCUAUUUAGCAUGUACAACUCAUCUAUUUGGUUCCAUACCAUUAGUGAAAAAUAGUAUAGUUAAACAUAUACCACGGGGGGCGCCACGAUCACAAACAUGUGAAUAUAUUUACCACAUCAUAGUCAUGAAUAUUCAUGUAAAGAGAUAAAAAGCAGAAAAUAUAUAGUGAAGUAUUUAAUAACAAUUAAAACAAAAUAAUAAAAAGCAAGUACACUCACAAGUAUAGUUGCACAACAGGGACAUAUGUCUUAGUUGUGCUGAAAAGCUUUACAGCCCUUUCCUGGGCUAGAGUCCCUUCUUGUAGCAGGAUCCCAGUAUCCAAAGUUCUAAAGACUUCCAAUGGUAUUUCACUCGGAACUAGAUAUGAUCCAAAAGCUGUAGGGGCACUCACGAUCUUCCAAUUGCUUGACGCGUUUCGUCUAAUUGACUUUCUCAGGAGCUGUAUGUUUCUUCUUCUUCCGGCUUUUUAAAUAAUUGAGUUCGCGCGGCUUUCAUUAUUGCGCGCAUGCGCAUUACGGUAAAAGCUUUACCGCGCAUGCGCGCACAUCCAGCCUGGAACGCAAACAACUUUAUUGAUGUUCUUUUAAAAAAUAGGAAGACCCAUAAGAAAAAUAAGAAAGAUUAUAGCAUCUCCUUUCUAACUAGAUAUAACAAUAAAGCACAUCUGGUAGAGAAAACUAUCAAGAAAUUCUGGCCCAUUUUAAAACAAGACCAAUUUUUAAAGAACAUUUUACCAAAAAAAACCCAGAUCAUUUAUAAAAAGACCCAGAAUUUUAAAUCUAUUUUAGCUCCAAGCGCUUUACCUCGCAUCAAAACCAUGAAAGAAGAAAUUACUUCUGGUAAUAAAGUUAAUAAUUUUCUUAAAGAAAAACCAAAAGGUUUUUUUAAAUGUGGACAGUGCAGCACAUGCAGAUUCCAGAAACAGAAGACAACAGAAUUUACAUGUAGUGCCACUAAAGAAGUUUUUAAAAUAAAGAAUUUUAUAAGUUGCCAAACGAAAAAUGUAAUUUAUCUUCUUGAAUGUAAAUGUGGUAUACAAUACGUAGGUCGUACAAUAAGAAAACUACACAUUAGAAUCCUGGAGCAUUUUAAUGGUAUAAAAAGAGGGAACAUAAAACAUAGUGUUCCCAAACAUUGUAUAAAUUGUAAUCAUUUUAGCUUCCAAGAUUUUAGAUGUAUAGGUAUUGAUACGAUAAUCCCCCAUUGGAGAGGGGGUGAUACGGAAAAAGCGCUAGCUAUGAAAGAAACAGAAUGGAUUCACAAACUUAAAACCACUUCUCCAAGAGGUCUAAAUGUUGAUCUGGAUUUAUUAGUGUUUAUGGAUUGAAUUUUAUAGUAUUUUAGGACCUUUGGAAAGCUCCUUUCCAUUUAUUUUUUAAUAUUAUAAUAUUAUAAUUUUUUGUUGUUUCCAUAGAAGUUUUAUUGAAUUUUAUAUAUUUUUUAGUAAUUAUUAUCAUUAUUUUUUAUGGUAAUUUUAAAAGAUUUUGACGUUUUCGCCAUGUCCCUCAGUUAAACUAAAACAAAAAUAAAAAUGUUCAUUAUUGCACAUUGUUUUUAUUAAGCUUGAAAUGACCAUCUCUAUAGCUUGCUAUAUAUAGAUAAAGAAAAAGAAAAACACUUUUGUAUACAUAAUAUUGUAUAAAAUGUAACAUUAUGUCUCUUUUAUCCCUCCAUAGUAUGUCUAAUCAUUAUUUUUAAUCUCUUGUAAAUCUUCUAUUCUCAGUUGUAGAUUUUUAGCAAUUCUAAAGAUGAAAUAUGUAAUUUAUUUCUAAUGUUUUUAAUUCAGUAUAAAGUGUAUGCAUAACAUGUUUUUUAGCAUUAGAUGAAUUGUAUAUUACUGAUAUAAAUGAGGUUUAAGUGCCCACAUUCCAUUCCGUAAGACCAGGUGGUCAAGUACGGAAAUGUGUUCAUUGGCACAAAACAUCAAUAAAGUUGUUUGCGUUCCAGGCUGGAUGUGCGCGCAUGCGCGGUAACGUUUUUACCGUAAUGCGCAUGCGCGCAAUAAUGAAAGCCGCGCGGACUCAAUCAUUUAAAAAGCCGGAAGAAGAAGAAACAUACAGCUCCUGAGAAAGUCAAUUAGACGAAACGCGUUGAGCAAUUGGAAGAUCGUGAGUGUCCCUACAGCUUUUGGAUCAUAUCUAGUUCCGAGUGAAAUACCAUUGGAAGUCCUUAGAACUUUGGAUACUGGGAUCCUGCUACAAGAAGGGACUCUAGCCCAGGAAAGGGCUGUAAAGCUUUUCAGCACAACUAAGACAUAUGUCCCUGUUGUGCAACUAUACUUGUGAGUGUACUUGCUUUUUAUUAUUUUGUUUUAAUUGUUAUUAAAUACUUCACUAUAUAUUUUCUGCUUUUUAUCUCUUUACAUGAAUAUUCAUGACUAUGAUGUGGUAAAUAUAUUCACGUUUGUGAUCGUGGCGCCCCCGGUGGUAUAUGUUUAACUAUACUAUUUUUUUGGUAUUGUAACUGGGACUGGGAGUGAUCCCUAUUUUGGGGUGAUUAGCCUGCACUGGAAUUUGCACUUUUUCCCACUUACUGCCCCUCUUUUAGACAUACCAUUAGUGAUCCUUGCUUGCAGAAACUCAAAUUCCCUGUUAACUCAAUAAAGUUACAUUUUUACAGCAACUGUAUUCUAAAAUUAUGAACAACUUAUCUUUUUGAUUCCUUUUUGUCAAUGAGACGCUUCUCCAUUUAAGUUGGUGGCAGGAAAAAUGGGCAAGUGAAAAGAUCAGAGUGACUUUCACAAGGGCCAAAUAGUAAUAGCUAGAAGAUUGUUCAGAGCAUCUUUAAAACAGCUUUAAAACAAGACUUGUAGAGUGUUACUGGUAUACAGUGGUUUGUACCAACCAAACGUGGUACAAGGAAGGACAAUUGGUGAACCAGCGUUGGGGUCCUGGGUGCCCAAGGCUCACUGAUGCAUGUAGGAAUGAAGGCCUGCUCGUUUGGUGCAAUCACACAGAAGAGUCACUAUAACUCAAAUUGUUGAAAAAUGUAAAGCUGGGCUGCCAUGGGUGGAUAGCUAUGUGCUUGUGCAUCAUUUACCUGGAGAAGAGAUGGUGAUAAGAAGACACAGGCCAGUGGAGGCAGUGUUUUGCUCUGAGCAAUGUUUUGCUGGGAAAUCUUGGGUCCUGGCAUUCAUGUUGGUGUUACUUUGACAUAUACCACCUACUUAGAGAUUGUUGCAGUACACCCCUUCAUGGCAAUGGUGUUUCUUGAUGGUAGUGGCCUCUUUCAGAAAGAUAAUGCACCCUGGUAUACUGCAAAAGUUGUUCAUGAAUGAUUUGAGGAACAGGGCCUUCAAAUUCCCCAGAUCUUAAUCCUUUUGACCAUCUGGGGGAGGUGCUGGAACAACAAACCUGAUCGCAACUUGCAGGACUUAAAGCAUCUGCCACUAAUGUCUUUGUGCCAAAUAUCACAGGACAUGUUCAGAGGUCAUGUGGUCUUCUCUACACAUAAGAGCUGUUUUGGGAACAUGAGGGGGAACUACACAAUAUUAGGCAGGUCGUUUUAAUGUUGUGUCUGUGUAUACCCCGAUCAAGGAGUAUUACAAAAACACAAAUAAAACUUGCAUAUUAAGAUUUUUUUUUUUUCAACAAAGAGUUCCAUAAAACCCAUACAGUGUUGUGAUAAUAAAAUAUAAAUGAAUAUAAUGGGAGAAGCGGUUUUUGUUGUAGUUGAAUGUAGUACACAUAAUUUUAUCUAACCCUGGUAAUGCCUACAGAACCAAUCUGUAUGCAUAACAACUUUCACAUGCCACAUGUGAAAAAUGGGAUUAUGUUGCCACAUUCAGGUAUAUCAAACUCUACCAUCAGGUGGUCAACUUCUCAUCCUCAGUGCCCUGUUCAGCUCCAAUGUUGCCAUUGCAAUUUGUUCUCAAUAAGAACUUUCUCAGGGCAAUGACUGGCCACACUUAUAAAGUUUUAUUCGUAGUCAAAACAUUAUUCAACAACCUAUUCAUAUUAAAAUCCUUCGUGCAAAUUACAUUUUCUAAUGUACAAUAUUGGGCUUAUUUUUAGCAACAUCUAAGGGGGAAGGGAAAAAACAAGUGUAGCAAAAACGGAAGUGUAGUAAAAAUAAAUAAUCCACUUCCAUUGCUCCUACAAGAGAAAUGUUGACAUUUUUUGAACAUUGGUAGAGGCACUGGCUUUGGUCACCAUGGAGCCUCAGUUUUUGCCAAACCACUAAAAAAUUAUCUGAUAGAAAAGUGAGGAGAGAUGACGCCCAAAUACUAAUUGGACCAUAAUCACUAGAGUAAACUGUAGUGGGUACGGUGCCUGUAGUGCCUCUUCAAGUUGAAUAUUCCUUUUACGCAAAUCUAAGAUGAUAAAUAGAAAUAAAACCUCUAUUAAAUGGCACACAGGAUAUCACUAUGAUUUCCUUAAUAAAGAUUGUUAAUGAUUUACUAUAAUGAUAAUUACUUUAUUUGGACUUUCUCAAAUACAUUAUCUAAGGUUUUUCAGCUACUGUUUCUCAAGUAAACAAACUGCUACAAUAAAUCAACAGAUACAAGGUAUUUGUUUAUUGUUUGAUUUUUCGGAUAUCCUGCCUUGUGCUGCAGCUGCAAUCAUUUGUUGCCUUUAUGAUUGUGGCAGUUGUGUAACCGCAGAUGUAUCCCAGGCUCAUGUCAAAAACAUACUCACUUUAACACACAUCAUAACAUUAAAGGAACGCUCCAAGAGCCAAAACCUCUAAAGAUCGCUGUAGUGGUUGUGGUGGCAGGAGUAUCUGGCACCCUCUCAGAUUAAAAUGUCUACCUGUUUAGAUUGACUUGAUAACUUACCUCGGUCUUUGUCCUCCGGGAGGCAUAACCACCUAUCAAAGCUAGUGAGUAUGUGGCAGUCCCAGUUUUACGUAAAAAGAAUAAAGAGAGGUGGCUGGUCUCUUCUGCCAGUUCCUCGUCUGAGGAAAACUUUUCUGCUCCUUCUUCCCCUCAUACUCGUUUUAGUAUGCGAAAAAAUUAAAGGGACAGGAUCCCAAAAGCGGAAUAGUGUUUUCCUCGUUUGAGUCCCAGAAACACCUUCCAGAGAAAAAGGACAAAUCUCAUUGGAGGUUAGAUAGUCCUUCUCCUUCCUUUUCUGGAAUGUCUGAUCUAGCCCCUAAAUCACAUUAGUUACCAAAUUUGGAGGAUUCUUACCUUUUCAGUCCCUCAUUCAUUUAAAAGGAUAAAGGCCGUUAUAAGGCAAAGACAUCCUUUUCAGCACUCAAAAAAUCCAUUCCUGGCUAGAAGAAGCCCUUUCGGAAUGAGGGUCACCCCUAUCGGACUGCAGGAUCAUCCCGAGAAGCAUCUCACCAGGCCCAGUACCGCCACUACAGUGGAAAACACAAGCUCCCAGGUGGUGGCAGAGGAGCUCAUUCCAGAGGUGGUCCAGCUUCCAAGAGAAAACCCAUGCAUUCAAGUAAGUGUGCCUCCUCACACGCCACAAAAUUGGAAGAAAAUUUCUUCAGACAAAUGGGCUGUAAAGACUUUUCAAAGGGGUUUACAACUCCCCCUUUUAAGGUUCCCAGUUCAGAGGUUUGUACCCAGCAGAGAGGUGAACCCAGUGCUAGAUGCCUCUCUUUCCCUAGCUUUAAAUGAAGGGAUAGAGUUGGCAGACAUGUCUAUUACAGGAUGAGUCAGUUCUUUGUUCCCAAUUCCAAAAUCCCAAAAGAUGGUCCCUGGAGACUGGUUCUAAAAGUGAGGUCUCUGAACGCUUUCAUUAAAAUAAAAAGGUUCCGGAUGGAGGGUUUCAGAUCUUCAAGGCUUAGUACAGAAAACAUUUUUCUGCGUAAAGUUAGACCUAAAAGAUGCCUUCCAUUCAGUCCCUAUAGCCAAGAAACACAGGCGUUUCCUCAGGUUUCGGUGGAAAGGAAAGGUGUGGCAGUGGACUGAUAUGGUGUUUGGCCUAUCCAAUGCACCAUACACAUUCUCUAGAAUAAUGAAAUCAAUGAUAGCCCAUGUCAGACUAAAAGGUUACAUGUGUCUGUACUAUCUAGACGACAUCCUGCUCAUGCAUUCAGAUACCUAGGAUUUGUAGUGAAUUUACAGAAAUCAGUACUAAUUCCCACUCUAAGCAUUCUCUUUCUGGGUUUUGUACUGACCACCAGGACUAUGUCACUAGGUAUCCCUCAAGACAAAAUGGGACAAAUUAUUGGUACAUCUGACCUCAUCUCUAGAGUUGGUCAUUGAGAGAUCUGGCAAAGAUUAUUGGGAAAUUAAUAGCUUUAACACCAGCCUACGAUGAUCCCCUUUACUUUGCAGAAUAAGUCAGCUGUUUUUAGGGAAUCGAUUAAGACAGGGUGGCCAUUGGGAACCAAAAUUAUUUCUCCCCAAGAGGGUCAGAGAAGAGUUGAAGUCUAUUCUGGGGAUAGGAAUUAAAUCAGACUAAGACUCCUUCAUAUAAACAUCUUUGAGUUAAGAGUUAAAACCAGUUACCGACGUAAAAGUCCAAUCGGACAACAGAACAGCGGUGGCUUUUAUAAACUGCAGAGGGGGCACAAGAUCAAGUGGUCUUUGUUUGGAGGCUCUAGAACUUUGGUCUUGGGCUUUAGCAAACAAAGUUCGGGUUUACACAGAAUACGUUCCGGGAGAGGCGAACGAGCUUGCAGAUUCUCUCUCUCGCCAGUUUUUGUCUCUGGCAACAAUUCAAUUAAAGAUUGCUCAAUUCCAACAAAUAGAAAGUAAUUUUGGCCAGAGAAGUAGAUCUGUUUGCAUCCCAAAUGUCUGCACAAACUCCCAGGUUUGUCUGCAGGAUUUGGGCAAAGGAAGCUUGGAAAAUGGAUGCACUGUCCCCCUCCAUAUUUACUGAUGAAAGUGUUGGAGAAGAUUGUACCCUCCCAGUACAGGUGAGAGGGGCCUGUGGACAAGGAGAAAUGGUUCCCACUACCAACUGGAGCUGCAAUGAUGCCGCACGACACGGCACCAUGGAUGGUACGAAUCCUUUCAAGUACAGAGUGGAACCCAGCCUGACCGCUACAUGCCUAGGGUGAUGAGAUGACACUCACAGAGUCACUUGCUCAGUGAGCUUACACAAGGUGUUGCCUUGGCCAAAAGCCACUGACUCGGCUUACACUCCACCACAACCUGCCACUUGUCUAUCCUGUGCCCACUCCAUGGCACAUAACAAACAGGGUGCAUACUCUGUGCCCAGAAUAUCUACUGCUUGGUGUCCCUUUACGUCUGAAUAUUACCUUGUGAUGUCAGCAUGCCUACAUGUUUAUCUUUACUACUUUUGCUUGUUUCUGACCUGCCUCACACGUAUAUCCAUUCUCUAUUAUAUCUCCUGAGCAUGUAUCCUCUCAAGUCUUAUGUUUAAACCUAUAGUUCAUCCUAUUACAUUUUUUUUUAAAAGUGCCGUUUUCUCAUAUGCUCUGACUCUGAAUCCACCAGUAUGUUUACAAUUUGCAAUUUUCUGUACAAGCUUGCAUGUUAGUCCUUGCACUAUGAAAAUAAAGAAUUAAAAAAUAUAUAAAUAAAUGCACAAUUUUUGCAACUAAAAUUCCCUGUUAAUUACCUUUCGCCAGCAAAAACAUUUUUCAGCUUCCAGGUUUCAAAAAUUGAGCUGCGCAUUAGAUUUGAGUAAAUAUGGUAUAUAUAAUAUCCAACCCCAUUGAUCCUGUACAAAAGUGGAAAUUUGACAUUAUUUGAACAGUGGCAGAGGGACUUGUUGUGAGCACCAGGGAGCCUCAGUAUUUGUCCACUAAAAAAAUAUCUGAUAAAAAUAUGGGGGGAUGGCACCCAAAGACUCCUUGGAACAUAAUCAAUACAGUAAACUGUAGUAGUUAUGGUGCUUAGAGUUGCUCUUUAAAUAAAACGGUCCUUUUACCUUAAUUUAAGGUGGUAAAUCUGUGCUAUUUAAUACAGUUUAACCACUAAUACAGGUUAUUAAUGGUUUGAUAUAAUGAUAAUUAAUUGCUUUAUUUUGACUUUCUCAAAGUCAUUAUCUAAUUUUUUUUAGCUACUGCUUCUCAUGUAAACAAACUGCUAGAAAAAUUAACAGAUACAAGGUAUUUGUUUAUUGUUUGGAUUUUUCGGAUAUCCUGCCUUGUGCUGCAGCUGCAGUCAUUUGUUGCCUUUACGACAGCAGCAGUUGCAUAACCACCGAUACAGGAGUGACUGAGCACCCUCCCAGAGUAAUCUGUCAACGGUUGUAAAGGACCUGGUUUAACUCAUUGAAGACAUCCGACAUCUAAUAUUCACCAUACAUUUGUUUUAAUGCAGAAGAGUCAUGGGAUUGGCAGGAAUAAUUCACAUCAACUCAAUACAUCAACCUCCUGCAAGGUUAAAAAGCCCAAGCAAUAACAUGCAUUAGGCUGGCUGUAUCUUGUCACCUUAAUUCUACCCAUGGUGCAAUUACUUACACACAGAUUUAUUAGAUGCCAAAUUGCCCCAUGGAAGACUGUUAUUGAUUUUGUUUUGCAUGGUAAAGUAACACUCUUACCAAGAGUGCUUAGAGUGUAGUAAAUUAGUAAAGUCAACCAUGUUCCUAGCCCAAAUGUCCAAUCCCAAUCCCCAAAGAAGCCAUCAUCCUGUUUGAUAUCCUGUACUAAGUCAUGAAAAUCUUUUAUGUUUAUGGAUCAUAGUGCCAUGGUCAGAUAGGUUAAAACAGCCCAUACCUUCAAUAGCUUCACAGCCAUGUUUCAUUAGUAAGUAGUCAAUGGCUGCUCUAUUCUCAAGGAUUGCCUUCUUAUUUGCCUGGGUGUCCAUAAUUAGCUCUUCUGGGGCCUGGGAAGUGGCAUUUAAACCCUUUACAAGGGAACAGGCUACAUCAUUAAUUACUCGGGUAUCAUAAAGUGCUAAGCUUGGGACUCCUACCUAGAGUAAGCAAGGGCAGAAUAUUCAGAUUUAGAUAAGAGAGUGAUUUCAGGGUUACAAUCUGAAGUCUGGGUCUUCUUAACGUCUCUCCUGUCUCUCUGCGGUUUGUGUAGCUGGGUGGUUUCAGGGAUCAGGUCCGAUUUGGAAAACAUGGUCAUGGUUAGGCGUGAGAUUGCACAGGGCCCUCCUGUAAUGUUACCUGUGACAUAAGCAUAAGUAAUAUUUCCACAGGAGAAAGUCCAUCCUUUAGGGAGAUAGACAUGGUAGUGGUAACUCAUAACUUGGUGAGUUUUGGUACAAUUCACAGUGGUGCUCAGGGCUCUACAAUUCGUGAUAUUUUUCCUCCACGUGAGGCAUAACAGAGAUUUAGUAUUAGGGUUUAUUGAACAAUUACAUGAAAAAGACCAAGAUAGGUAAGCGGCUGUCACAUUAAUUGUCUUUAGGGCUAGGGUGGGUUUGCCUACCAGUGGGUUGAAAGCAUAGGAAUAUAGUUGUAGAGAUUUAUGGGGUCUAUGGGUAUGUAGGUACUUCCUCAAGAGUGAGAUGGGGUAGGGACAGCUAUAAGACAAGAUUGUAUGGCGUUUUCAGUAUUGAGGAGACAGUUGAGGCAAAAGGAGGUUAAAUUAAAAGCCUUUGCAAUCUGCAACCAUAUAUUUCCCUGCCAUACAUUAUUAUCUUCUGGUCUGAAGUCAGAGUAGCAUAUCUAAACAGAGCAUACAAUGGUAAAGGAUAAGAACAGCUUCAUGUCUGUGGAUCAGUCGGAGUGACUUGUUUACAAUGACUGGCAUGUAUCCUUGUGGCUUUUCCUUCUAGUUCCACUGAGGCAGCCGUAGUCAGGAGCACUUGGAAUGGACCGUCAAAGCGUAGUUCAAGUCCUUUCCUCACAUGCUUCUUUAUCACCACCCAAUCCUCAGGCUGCAGUUUGUGAGUUGCAGAAUCAGAGUCUGGAUCUGGAAUGGAAUCAAAGACAUGUUUAUGCACCCUGCCUAAUCUUUGGUGUAGGGGCUGCACCUGAAGGAUCUGGGGAAAAUAGAGGCCUGUCCUUGGGGCACAUCCAAAUAGGACUUCAAAAGGGGAUAGGCCAUGUCUGGAAUUGGGUGUGAAUCUCAUAGAAAAGAGUGCUAGGGGAAGGCAUUCAGUCCAGGGCUUCCCUGUGCCUUGCAUGGCAUUUGCAAUCUUGUUCUUUAAGGUGCCAUUUGCCCUUUCUACUUUCCCACUACUCUGGGGGUGAAGGCCUGGCUGAUCCCUAAGGCUUUCAUAAUUUAUUGCAUUAUUUCCCCAGUGAAAUGGCUACCUCUGUCACUUUCAAUCACUUCAAGUACCCCAUAUCUACAUACCAGAUCCUUCAGAAGCUAACUUGCUGUGACCUUCGUUGUGGCUUUUGACACUGGGUAGGCCUCAGGCCAACCUGAAAAAGCUAUAUAACAAAAAGGUACAAAUAGCUAGUAAUAAAUUAUAUAAUACAAGUAUUAAACAAAAGAGCAACUACAUACACGGAUCAGCGACUUAAUGAGUAAUAAACUCAGAUUAGAUAAAUAGGUAUGUGCACUUUAAAUAUAAAACCUCAACAAAUAUAAAAUGAAUAUAAAUCUUUUAGUAGUAACCACAUAUACAAAAGCUUUAAUUAGUAAACAAAACAAGCUGUUUCACACCCUCAGUGGCAAAAUUAACCAGACAGGGAUACUCAGAUAUAAAUAAAACAAUGGAUACAAAAAAACAACAAAAUGUAACAAUUUGUAUCAAUAAUGAUCUCCUCCAAGUAUCUCCACAAAGCAAUUGUCAUUCGAUACACUAAAAGACAAAUAUAUCAAAGACAAUUCCAAAGAAUAUCAAUAGUGGAGAUAGUUUGGAGAAAAAAACAUAAAAACAUAAACAUAAAAAUGAGAAACACAAAUAUAAAUAAAGAGAUAAAUAUAAAGAGUACCUGACCUCAGUGUGGGCCCUCACCAGAGGUAUAGACUGUGAAACAAUAAAAAAUAUAUACGAGUGUCCAAAAAAAUCCCCUAGAAGCCACUUGUAUGGGUGAAUGAUGGAGGGCAGCCAACAGAUACCGAGCAGACAAAUGUAUCUAAUAAAGGAAAACCCCCCCUUGUUGCUCAGGCCAACCUGAAAAGAGAUCAAUGCACACCGACACAUAUUCAUACACUCCUACCUUAGGCAGUUAAAUAUAGUCUAUCUGCAGUCUUUGAAAUGGGUAAAGUGUCCUUGGCGUGUGCUUACUUGGUGUUUUGACAGCAUGUUCUGGAUUGCUUCUAACACAAAUCAUGCAAGCUUGCGUGUGUUUAGCUGCUACAACAGUAAAUCCGGGUGCUACCCAAUGGGUGUUUAUUAUGCUGUUCAUGUGCAUCUUGGAUAGAUGUGUAGGUCCAUGGGCCAUCAUGGGGUACAACACUCGUGGUAGAUGCAGUCUUUUACCUUUCCUCCACAUUCUGUCAUCAUCAGGUUUUGCAUCUUGUUUCCUCCAGAAGUCAUGUUUUUACUUGCUUGCCUGUCUUUGUAAGCUCAGCAGUAUAUUGUAGUCAGCUGCGUCAUCUGUAAGAACAACUUGCAGGAAGGUAUUACCUGUAGAAGGAUGUACUGGGAUUGCUGCUUGUUUGGCAGCUUCGUCUUCUUUGUGGUUUCCUCUUCCUAAUUUCAUCUAUGAUCUUCACGUGAGCUGCCACCUUGAUGAUGCCUACUUGAGUGGGUAGCAGGAUAAGUGCACUCAUGGCUUCAGAGUUCUUGAUUGUAGUACCUGCUGAGGUGAGAAAUUCACGAGCCCGCCAUAUAGGGCCAAAGUCAUGGGCUAUACCGAAGGCAUAGCGAGAGUCUGUGUAAAUAUUAGCUGUCUUACCAGAGGCCAGUUUGCACGCUUCAGUGAGUGCCUUCAGCUCAGCCUCCUGUGCAGAGCAGUGAGGAGCGAGUGGUUCAGCUUUUAUUAACUCAUGUGUAGAUACUACAGCAUAUCCAGUGUGGAAAUUACCCUUCUCAUCACCAUAUCUGGAACCAUCUACAAAAAAUUAGAUAAUAGAGAAUCAAUUACAUGCGAAAAACCAGCUGUCUCUUGUGCCAUUAGUGCUGCACAUUCAUGGGGUACCUGGGCGUCAGCUAACUCAUCUGGUAAAAGUAAAUUUACUUUCACUACCAAACACUCUGGAACUCUGUGCUGGAUUGGUGACUAUCCGUGUCCCGCUAAACUUUGGACUUCCAUCUAAUUUGGGCUAGCCAUAUCCAAUCGGUUUUUGGGCAGAAUGGGUGCUCCAGAGAGACCUUUCCAGAUAUGACAGUGUUGUGGGAAUCUGGGCAUGGAAGCUUUGUUUUAUCAUUUUUUCUUAACCCGGUGCCAACGUGUCCUGUAGAUAAUUAAAUUACCAGCUCACAUACAAAGGUGCCAGGUAUGUCGCAAUCUAUUCUUCCCGGGGACCUUCUGUUGAAACAAUUUGCCUUAAUAAGACUUCUUAUUCGCCUUUCACUAAGUCUCGACUAGUGUUUGGGUGAGACUAAUGUACACUUGCAAGAGAACCUAACCUAUCUACCUAUCCCUACGAGGUACAUAAUAUGAGUACCAUUAAAUUGGGUAAUAGUAGGUAACAUCCCAGGAUAUACUUGAAAGCCAGAGUAAUCUGAAUGCACCUCUCUUGCUUAAAUACUUUAUUAUUUUUCUACACAAUGGAAUAAUGGCAACAAUGAACCAACUUGUGGGUAUACUGCUACAAUAUGUGACUACAUAUAUACAUAUACUAAGUCUCGACUAGUGUUUGGGUGAGACUGAUAUACACCCAUAAUUAUAGAUAGUGUUUUAAAUUGUGUGCAAUCACAUGCACACAUUUUUAGUAACAUUCAAAUGUUUCUGUGUGUGAAAGGGCAUGUAUGAAAGUGACAGCUAAUUAAACGCGUGACUGAGAAUACAUAUGUGACUGAGUCUAACUGUAAACAACACUGCAAAAGUUAGGAAAAAACAUCAGAGUUGGAGAAUUAUACAAAUCCAGUGCUUUUGGCCCACAUUUUGCAAUGUCAUACCUCAUGCAAAGGAUGGGUGUGCCAAAAUUGAUAGGGCAUGCUAAUUAGUAUUCCUUCUUCCUGGCCCAAGGGAGGGGGAUAAACUAACCAUAACAGAAACACAACUGUUCAUUUCACCCCAAACACACACUACAGUCCUUAAUCCCAGGCACAUGUAGCCAACUACAUAUCAAUGUGUGCUGAUACAAAGCACAACAGGAGAAGAGGGGUAUAGGGAGAAAAAUGUCUGUUCUUGAUCACAAUCAGGGACUUUGGGAUUUGGAGGCACUAGUCUAUAAUACACUGAUCAUCCACAGUGGCGGAACUACCACAGUCGCAGGGGUCGCAGCUGCAACCGGGCCCGCCACUCCAGGGAGCCCAGCCGCCCUGUGAACCACUGUAAUCGGUUUCCCACCGCCAUGUGUUGCGGCCCUGGCGCGCGCAGUAGAACCGCACGUUCAGGGGCCCAUCGGGUGGUCCAAGAUGUUAAGGCCACCGGAUGGCAAAAUUUUACCAGGGAAGUCAUCCUCCAGCAUCUAAAAGGCAGGAAACAGGAGGGUGACUAAUGUAUGUGUGUCUCUCUAUGUAUGUCUCUGUAUGUAUGUGUUUGUGUUUGUGUGUUUGUGUAUCUAUUUGUCUGCAUGUGUAUCUGUAUGUCUGCGUAUCUGCAUGUCAGUGUGUGCCCUGUGUAUCUGUAUGAGUUUUAUUAUGUGUAUUUCAAUGUUUUUCCUUAAGUUUUUGUGUAUAUGCAUGUUUGCGUGUAUAUAUGUAUCUUUGUGUGUCUGUGUAUCAGCAUGUGUGUCUGUGUAUCAAUCUGUAUGUGUUUUAUGGUGUGUAUCUGCAUGUGUGUCAAUGUGUGUUUGUAUAUCUGCAUGUGUGUCAGUGUAUGCACGGGUGUGUCUGUGUAACUGUCACCUCAACACACACACUGUCACCCCCUUCACCCUGCCACACUCACAAUAACUCCACCAAUCCUGUCACUCACCCAUGCCAUACUAACCUCCCAUUGCACUGCCAAAUUCACCCUAUUACCCUCACAUUCUCUCGCACUGUCAUACUUACCCCCUAAUCCUGUCACACUCUUUCUCCAUCACUUUGUCAAACUCGCCCCCUUUCACCCUGCCACACUCACCCCCUUUCACCCUGCCACACUCUCCCUGUCUCAUUAACCGCUCCAAUUCUGUCAUACUCAACCUCCCAACCCUGCCACACUAACCCUGUGGGGCGUGAAUGAGACUCAUGGAGGAGCUAAGGGGUGGGGGGUGAGAUGUAUGGGGGAGGGCCCAGGGCAAUCUUUUGCACUGGGGCCCCUUGGUUUCUAGUUACACUUCUGAUAAUCCACAACAUUAAAAUCUCUUACAGGUGAAGUGAAUAACAUUGAUUAUAUUGUUACAAUGAUACCUGUCAAGGGGUGGGGUGGGAACAUUCAGUUCUUGAAAUUCAUGUGAUGGAAGCAGGUAAAAUGGACAAGCGAAAGGAUAUGAGUGACUUGAACAAAGGCCAAAUAGUGAUAAAUAAAUAACUUGAUCAGAGUAUCUUCAAGUUGGCAAGUCAUCUGAGGAGUUCUGGGUAUACAGUGGCUAGUUCCUCUCAAAAGUGCUGCAAUGACGGACAACCGGUGAACCGGCAUCAGGGUCAUCAACACCCAAGGCUCAUUGAUGCACGUGGGGAGCAAAGGCUAGCCUGUCUGGUCCAAUCCCACAGAAGAGCUUAUUUACCUCAAAUUGCUGAAAAACUACAGCUGGCCAUGAUAGAAAGGUGUCAGAACACACAGUGCAUCACAGUUUGCUGCAUAUGAGGCUGCGCAUGUCAGAUUGCCCAUGAUGAGCUAUGUCCACCACUGAAAGUGCAUUCAAUGGGGACGUUAGCAUUGGAAGAAUCAAUGGAGUAAUGGAAGAAGCUUUCCUGGUCUGGUGACUCAUUUGGAUAGACCUGUGCUCAUGCAUCAUUUAAUAGGGGAAGAGAUGGAAGCAGAAUGCACUAUGGGAAGAAGGAAAGCCUUUGAAGGUGGUAUUAUGGUCUGAGCAAUGCUCUGCUGGGAAAGCUUGGGUACUGGCAUUCAUGUAGAUGUUACUUUGACACAUAACACCAACCUGGUGGUGUUGCAGACCAUACACACCUUCAUGGCAAUGGCGUUCAGAGCAUCUUCAAAACAGCAAAUCUUGUCUGGUGUUCCAAGUAUGCAGUGGUUAGUACCUACCAAAAGUGGUUCAAGGAAGGACAAUUGGUGAACAUUGUUACAUGCCUUUAUUUUUUCCUUACACUCUGACAUUUUCAACAUCCUUUUUAUCUUGUAUGCACACAAUCCUUCUCUUGCAUACUCUAUCAUGCCCUUGAAAUCUAUUCAGAUAUUAGUGUAAAUAUUUACAUUUUUACAGUUUUAUUGCUGACCAUUUAUAGACCACCCAGGUAAUGCAUCAGCCUCAGUACUUCAUAUACAUUAAUAUCCAAAUAACUAAUGAGCACAUUCCAUUAAUAUCCCUGGAGAAUAGUCACUGUAUCUUUCAGUAGCUCUGUUUUCAACAAAAUUAUACGAUAGACAACAUCAAACUAUUUGCAGGGGUUAUAUUACAAGGUCCGCUGUGCACUAAAUUUCCCAUGAUUAUCAGCAAGAUAAAUGAUUGACAUAAGAUCAUGCGGAGAACAAUCAGUGGUGGCUGGUGAAGUUUAAAGUUGGUUAGUCACUAAAUUCCACCCUCAAAAUCUGUCUCCAUUUGACUUGUUGGACCGAUGUAAGCCCAUGAUUUCAACCCCAAACAAAAUGAGAGGUCAUGCUCUAUACAUUGCAUAGAUGAAUGUAUUUAAGAAACAACCACUUGCAAAAUCAGUGAGUAACAUCAGAAAUCCCAUUAGACUAUGCAUAUCUGAGGGGUCUGUACCCAGAAAAUGGGGAAAUUCUUUCUGAAAUACCCCCCAAAUUGUGAUAUGUUUAUUUGACCAGUUUUUCGGCAACAUCUUCAGCCAUCAAGAAAUGGGGAGGAGACAGGCACAUUUUGUUUUUCUAGUAUACAUGUGUCAUUAGUCCUUACCAUGCCGUUAUUUUUUUUUCUUUUGUUGCAACAAAGAUUGGGAUGCAUUGCCCCACCUGCCCCUAUGAACCAGCCUGCACUUAGUACAGGACAAAAUGGAUAUAGAAGUAAAACAAAUGACCUAUUUAGCUAUCACUGCUCAUCUCUGCAACACAAAAGGAAAGCAUAAGCAAAUCAUACAUUGAAAAACAAUGUACAUUGUCAACAUAUUUCUUCAGUGUAUCCUGUUUAGAUUGCCAUUAGAAUUUUCACUCAGACCAUAGGCGUGCGCACGGGGUGUACUGGGUGUGCCUAGGCACACCCUAAUCCCUGCGGCACGUGCUAUGUGCCUCCCUCCGUGGAUCUCCCUCACCGACCCACAGGAUGUGAGGGAAGCAGGAGAGGACCCAGGAAGCUCUUGCCAGCAGCUCCGCCGGGUUCCUCUUGCGCGGUUACCGUGGCAACGCUCAGAUCUCGCGAGAGUGAACUCUAGCCCCACAGGGGGCUAGAGUUUACUCUCUACUGGACCACCAGGGAAGGCAGCAGCACAGUCCCCCCUCCCUACAUAAGGUAAGAAGGGAGGGGGGAUAUUAACUAAACGGCCCCCACAGCCCACACAUUACACACAAACAGCACACACACACAUACAUUACCCUUACACAUACAGCAUACACAGCACCCUCACACUAACAACACCCUUACACACACAGCACCCUCACACAUACACACACACAGCACACACUAACAGCACCCUUACACACACAGCACCCUUACACAUACACACUAACAGCACCCUUACACACAGCACCCUUACACACACACACAGCACACCUAACACACACACACACACACACUAACAGCACCCUCACACUAACAACACCCUUACACACACAGCACCCUCACACAUACACACACAUCCCACACUAACAGCACCCUUACACAUACACAUGCUAACAGCACCCUCACACACAGCACCCUUACACACACACAGCACACAUUAACAGCACCCUUACACACAGCACCCUCACACACACAGCACACACAACAGCACACACACACACAACACCCCCACACAGCAACACACACAGCACACCCAACAGCACACACACACACAGCACACACACACACACCAACAUACACACAGCACACACACAUACACACACACACCCUUACACACACAGCACCCUCACACACACACACACACACACACACUAACAGCACCCUUACACAUACACACACACACACAGCACACACUAACAGCACCCUUACACACAGCAUCUUCACACACACACAGCGCCUUCACACACAGCGCCUCCACACACACACACAGCGCCUCCACACACACAGGUGUGUGUGUAUGUAUGUGUAUGCAUAUAUAUAUAUAUAUUUACGCGGUGUGUGUGUUUCUGCUUUUGGGUGCACACCCUUAUACAAUAGGCUGUGCACGCCUAUGACUCAGACAAUACGGUGAACCCAGCUCACCACAUAUGUAGGUAUUUAUUAAGAGACAAGAUAGCCCAAUGCGUAUACGUCUUGUUUUAAUUAAACAAUGAAAGCUGAUAAUUCCUCAUUUGUAGCUACGAAAUGAUGGUAAGACAUUUUUUUCUGCAGAGUUACAAUGAAAUUAAUGACCUGUCAAUCAAGGGAUGCAUGUGACAAGGCAAAUUCCAGGCAUUAUUCAUAUCUUUGAGGUAGAAUGCUAGCUAUCUUACUUCCUGACUCUCAUACCCUUCCCUGACAUCACUUGUGCACUGUUACAGUUGCCAUAGAGAAUCAUUGACUGUGGAAUUGUACGCCACUUGCGGUGAGCGGCGCACAUGCACUUACGUUCACCAAUGCUUCCCUAUAAGGAGCAAUGGAUUGGCCUGUCUGUAACAUAUUCAUCCCCACCUUGCGGUAUCUGCGGCACGUUGGUAGACGCCAGCCGCUGUGGCCCACGUCCGUCCACGGUGAUUAUGACGUCGGCGUGCAUGUGACGUCAUGCAGGAGACGCGCUUACGUUCUGGGUUCAAAGGCCAAUUUUGGCCAAUCGGAAGUGUUUAAGGCUUAUUAAAAUGCAUUCUUCCUUUCCCUCUUUGCCCUGUCGUUGUUUCCCUAUUGGUUGUCCAAGAGUGUGUUCCUGACCGUUUAUUUCUGGUUAUUGACUUUGGCUUUGUUUGACUUCCCUGUAUUCUGGUAUCCCUGACUUUUGGCUUUCCCUCAUCGUUGUGUUUCAUUCUGUGUCCCCGACCUCGGCAAGUAUCCUGAAUAUUCUCUGGUACGUUAAGUUUGGCCAUUCUAAGGCCCAGUAAGACAUUACCUGUUAGUCCUAGGUGUGAUACAGUUCUACGUGCUGGAUCAACUUGUAAUCCUGACACUGUCAUCCUGGAGGCAAUGUAUUCCAGGUUUUGUUUUUGAACAGUUGGGGCUGGACCUAAUUGACCAAGGGCAACAGAGCAGUAUUGUUCAGAAUAAUGUACCUUUCAAAUUAAAUAUUAUAAAAUGUCAUAUACAAAUUAUGCUUGCCGAGUUUCUAGCAAAUAUAUUACAUAUCUCACCUAUCAAUGUUCCUGGGCACACAUGUCUAAAAAUUGACUGAUAGGCGAGAGCAGGAGAACACUCCAGUCAGCUCUUUCAUUCUUCUUUACAGCAACUACACAUAUGAUGUACAUUAAAAACUUAGUUUAACAAAACAUACUUAAUACAGUGCCGGUCCAACUGUAACACACUACACUAAAAUCAACAAUGUCUGGGUGCCAGAGGUACCUGCAUACAUUUGGAAAUGUAAAGGGGAAAUCUAAGCACCAUAACCAUUACAGUCCAUGGCUGAGAUUAUGGUGCCAGUACAUCUCUGUUCAUAUGUGCCAUAUGGUUUUGAAUGACAUUCAUUAUCUGAGCUUGCCUGGCAAUUGGCUAAAGAAUAGCAUCAAGGUUUGGGCAAAAUCCCUGAUUCACAGGCACCUUGUCAUCAUUCUAAUGGUGCUUCUAGUGCCCCUUAAAACACAAAUUCAACAAUUUUGUAUAAAUGAAUGCAGUUAAAUAUAUUUCUAAUAAUGCACCCUGUUUGAAUUCUAUGGAUCUACAUAUCAGGACAUAAUAAUCAUCUGUUUCUUAGCAGGUAUUAAAAGUAGGUAAACACAACCUCAGAUGAACAACAACACAUGACAUAUUGCACUGUCAUGAUUUGUUUAACAAAAAUAAAGCCAAAAAUGUCAUGUGUGAAAAACUACACACUUUUAAACAGAGUGGUGCUGCUAAUCAAAUGACCUUGAUUUAUUGGUCAUCAGCAAGUGUGACCACCUCUGUAAAAGCUGAAGUUUUGGCAGUUUGCUUGGCUAGAGCAUUCAGAUGUAUGUUAACACAAUGCCAAGGAGGAGAUACAUCAGCUAUGAUUUUUGUGAUAUCCUAAUGAGCAUGUGUGUUUUUUUUUUUUAUUUGUUUCUUGCAGGGUUUUUAAUAUUAUGCAACACUUUCCAUUUUUACUUGUCUGAUUCUUUAAUAGAAUGCUCAUGGAGGGUUCAUGUCCACUAUUACACUGAACUGAAUGUGACAAGUUUACAAAUGUUUAAAUGUUUUCCCACGACAAAGUUCAUGAUAAAACUUCACAGGAAGGCGUUGGCUUUGAACAUAAUCAAAACAUUUUUACAGGGUCAUUUGUGUCCUAAAACACUUGGACUUGGAAUCAAUGCGUGCACCACUGGUUCUAUAUAUGGAGAUUUAAAACACUUUAAAAUACUUAUCUCGUUUAAUAUUAUAAUGUAGUGAUCUGAGUCACACUCUCCAGCUGACAGAUGUAACAGUGAAAUAAAUCAUAGCCAACAGAAACAUUGAACAUUACAACACUGCAGUGAUGUAAUAAUCCAAAUAUUUAAGAUAGUUUUGUAGUUAUAAUUAAAAUGUACAUAUAUACAAAGCUCAGGAUCACCACUAGUAAGAGAACAGCCAUUUAUAAUGUAAGGCUACUUCACUUAAAUUUUCCCAUGACCAAAGUAAGAAUCAUAUCUGAUGUAAGAUUAGACCAAGCACUCUGUGAAGUGGAAAUCGUUGGGAAUUCAAAAUGUAUUUCAAUUUAAAGGGACAUUAUAAGCACUAUAGCAACGGUAGGUAAAUGGAGUGGUUUUGGUGCAUAGAUCAAGGUUUCUUGCAGUCUAGUUGAUCAAUUUCUGUCCAUUUAGGAUAUAAAUGACUUUGUAUAUGUAUAUAUAGCCCUAGUCACACCUCCCUGCAUAUGACAUAUACAGUCUCCCUACACGUUUCUUAAGAGAUAAUGGUAAACUUCCUUUACUGCAAAGUCUGUUUAAUUUAAAAUUUGUUUAUCGCCUGCUCUAUUAAUAGAAUGCCUGUAAAAGCCUCCUGUGUGUUAUUAAAGUCCAAUUAACAGAGCAGGAGAUAAAAAGAACUUUCUAAGUAAACACACUGUGUUGUCACAUCUGAUUGAACUUUAAACCAUUUUUUUUUUGUAAGCUGUGUAAGUCAAGCCAGGAGAAGUGUGGACAGUGCUGCAUAAACAAAAUCAACGGUGAUUUAACUAUUAAAUGACAGAGAAUUAAGCAGUGAGGCUGCAGGGGCAUGACCUAUAUACUAAAACCACUUAAUUAAAGGAUACUUUCUGAAGUGCUUUGUGUGUAAAGAGUGUGUCAUCUUUUUUUUUUUUUUACAAAAAGUGUAGAUUUCAAUAGAAAUCAAUACUUUCAGAAAUAAACAUUGUUACACCCCACUGGUUGUCAGUCAGACAACCAGCUAUGUUACUUCCUGGUUAUUUAGCGCAAUGAUUAUAAACUCUAGAUUAUCAUUGAGAAGUUUGUGAUUGGGCUGGAUAUGAAGAGGAUGGUUUGCAAAGGCUUCAGACAAGAGAUGUGUGGCUUUUAAAAUAUAUUUUUAUACUCCCAAUGAGAAAUAUCUGCUAAUCUUUGAUUUUUAUUUCUUUUGCAUUUGGGGUAGUGGAGGGUCCCUUUCAGCUAAAGUUGUUUUGGUGCUUAGAGCCCCUCUUUAAGGCUGAAAUAGCUGGAAGAGUAGCUGUAUUUGAGAAUGUCCCAGCUUGGCUAUUUCAUAUUGACUUUUUUUAAAAAUAAUUCAAAAUUCAAUUUAAAUUCACUUUGAAUUAUCAGCAAUCCUCGUUUUACUAAAUAACCCUUACAGAGUAAUUAACUAAACACUGGAUUUUGUCCAUCUGCUAAAUGUGGCCCAAAUCCUACUGGAAUGGCAAUUCUCAUAUUUACUAAAGCCAAAUCCGGUAGGAGUUCUGUAGCAAUCAGCUAGUUGCAUUUUGUGACUAAAUUGAUCAAUUAGGAUACACGUACGCAAAUAAUUUUUCACUUUUUGCAAGCGAACAAUGAUAUUAAGUGCUAGCAUCUAGUGGAUAAAUAGUUAAAAAUCCUUGGCACUGCAAGAGUUAACCAUGUGGCAGCUGACCAGCACUUGCUCGCUAGCCGCCACAUAAAAGUAUAAAAUAAAAUAAAAAACAAGCUUAUUUUACGAUAUAUUACUAUAAGGGAGGUUUUUAGCAUCCCUGUAUCCCUUCCUGCCAAUAGAUGGUGGUAUAUCUACUAAACAUUAAAAAAAACUAGCAACUGAGAAGAUAUUACUGCUCAGUCACAAGAAAGGCCACAUCCCAUGCAGAUAAGACCUGUAAAAUAAUGGGGAGUAUAUACCCUCCUCCACACCCCCACACAUGGACAUCAGUAGGUGAGGGCUAUUAUAUUAAAUAGGAAGGCAUACUAAUAGCCCCCAGUUCUCCCCAGGGGGUCUGGGCUACUAACUUUAUACAGGGGGAGGAGAGCUAGCGUCCCCUCAACUCCAACUCAUAGGUAAGAAGGUAGGGGCUCUAAUUAUAAUAUGAGAGAACAUUUGGUGACUUAGCUUAGUAGCAGCACCCCUGUCUAGGGUUCCAGAUUUAAGCUUUGGGUUCAAAUAUAAGUUUGGGGAAUAGCUGACCAGCACCAGACUGAAGACUUUGUUAACCUCAAUCUUAAGUCCAGGUCUGAUCAGAGUAAAGGUAAGCUGAUCAGAGUAAAUGUAAGUAAGUGCAAGGAACCUCGUGGCAUCAUAACAACUUAAUUCUGAUUAAUUUGUCAUGCUUCUCAUAGGGUCAUUUUUAACACACAUUCUGUCUGUCCUCAUUUAUUUUUCUACAAGCAUUUCACUAACUGUACAUUAGUUUAUCAGGGAAAAGAGAGAUAUUACAGGGUUACAUGUAGUUGCAUUACCCAUAAGGAAUAACUCUGUCAAACACUGGAAUGUGUUGGAAUUUUUUAGAAAUUCCAUUGCAAAAUAUAAGCAGUUGAUCAUAAGAAGCAGAUAUUUUAAGUCUAUAGAAGCAGGUUCCAUAAAUCUUGUCAAUAUACAUUUGAACUUUGCUAAUUGAGUUUUUUUCUUAAUGUAAACCUCUUUAGUAUAUCACAGCCAAACAACCCAGGUUGAGAAAAAUACACUAAAAUUAUUCAAACAAAAUAUAUAUUAAAAAUCUACUCUGAUGUAAAUUAAAUUCUCACAGCUUUGGACUCAUGAAGGAGCGGCUCUAGACUUUGCAAGGUCUUAGGCGAAACUCAAACAUAAGGCCCAUUAGCAUGUUUAUAAGAACCUGUAGAUAUAUUAAAUGGCAGGCUUACAGUUUUGGAUACAGAGAGGUAGUCUCUGUAUUCAUCUUUAGAGGCUUGCAUUGUCGUGGCUCCCUAUGCCGCUGUGUUGUGAAAGGCAUGGAGGCUCAUAUUAUGCAUUUCUCUUUCUUUACUUAAAACAUCAGCAAAGAAAAAAAAACAAUAGAAAAAAGAAUGCUUAAAAUGUAAUCUCCCAAACUCCAUCCCUAUAUAAUUCAGGAUCACACCCCUAACUUCCUCUAUCUUUGAUGAGCCAACAAUACAACAGCAAUAGAGCAAAAAUUGACAAGUCAUGACCAGGAACCAGAACUGCAGCAAACAGACACCUUCAACAUUGAGGUUGUAACCAAGAACGUGACAGGAAGAGCAGGAUCCAACAACAGCUCAAACAGCUGAAACUCAUGGAACAUCAGCUAAAAAUUACAAAGGACGAGGUGUAACCCAGGGUUAGACAUCACGGAACAACCAAUGGCAUCACAUCAGUUCAGACAGGGAUUAUAAACCACAAGACCAUAGAAUGAAGCAUGCAAAUGCUUACAUAAGACCCAUAAACAAAACAAAUAAUGUAAAUGUCAAAAAUCAUACAACACAAACCUGACCGAAGAAAUAUCAGAAAUAACAGAGAAUAGCACGGAAGAAAAUAUGACCGCAGUGAAGCAUAAUAAAACGAGAAAGAAGGAAGGCAGAAUCAAAGCCAAAAAGUGAAAAGGGACAAUACCUGCCUCUGUGUCUUUCAUAAAAUUAUGACUUUUUGUCAUGAAAUGGCAAAAUUAUGUAAUUUAAUCUCAAGACACGGAGGAUCAUAUUGUGCAAGUUCAAAGCUGCGCAAUCACAUUAUAGAAAACAUGAUAAAUAUGCUUAAAGUCAAACUCGUUUAAGGUAGACUCCUGUGACCAAUCAGCAUAACGCAUCAAGUCCUUCAAGUGGCCCCCAGGGAUACAGGUGCCAUGGACCAAGUGGGCCCCAAAUCGAGAGAUAUCCACACCAGGGGAGGACAAUAACCACUUGUAAAAUUGGAAACUGUAUUUUGCUUGUGUGUGCCCUGAUCGCUAAUCUGUGUUUUGUAUAUAUUUUGGUCUUUACGGCAGCAGCACUACUUAGAAAUGCAAGUUCCGGGUUUGCCCCUUAAUUCCCCUUUUUUCUGUUCAAAGCUUACUUGAUCUCAGAUAGAGAUUGAAAAUGGAAUACAGAUGUUUGUUUCAUUUGGCUGACACACUUUGUUUAGUUUCAACAUUCAAGAAAGCCAAACACUCAGUAACCUAGUAAUGAAAAGAGCAAACAUUGGGAGAUAACAGCUCAACCUUUUAACAAAGAUUGCUUUUUUAAAGGGAACCUAUAGUCCUGAAAAUAACAAUUUUGUUGGGGGGGGGGGGGACAAGUAUAAGUACUUUAUGUUGUUGGGAAUUUCACCAAUUGAUGUCACCCUAGUUUAAUGUUUUUUAAGGUUUAGUUUAAUAAAGAUUACUUACCUCAUUUUCAGGAACGAGACACCUCCCCUGCAGAUGCCAACUCCCUGUCUGUCUUCAUCAGCAUACUGUCAACCAAUCUGUGAUGUCGUCCAAUCCAAUGCUUCGCAUAGAGAAGCGCUGGGGGUGAAAAACACUUAAGAAGCAAAACUCCACACUCCUCCGAUCAAAUGCUGCUAUGAGCAGCAUUUGAUUGAAGGACUGAGUUUGACUAUUUUCUGGAAGACAGUCACUGAAGGUAACACCUUCAUGUUAACAACGCCCGUUGUAAAAACAGUUACAUUGAAAGGUUAAAGAGAAAGGACCUUAAGGGGGUCUUGAAUUGCAACAUUUAUUGCAUUUUAUAUUUUAGAAGCACAUGUUUAGUAUUGUAAACAUAAUUAAAAAAAAAAUGUUAAGUGCUAAGCAAGUGCAGUAGAAAUUGUUUGGUACACUGUCAUUGGUAAUUUUGGUAACCCUACUAAUGCUUUACAAAGCUGUAUUCCUGGCUCUAUAGCUCCCUGUGCUUCCCCCCUCCCUCGCGCCUUUCCUUCGUGUUAAAAAGAGGGUUAAGAACCCUUCAUUUACUUACUUGAUCUUGACGCUGGGUCGCGGAUCCGCCUCCUCUGACAUCCCUCAACUAAAUAGCUGCAGAGCGUGAAGACGUCCACCAUCAAUUACCGGACCAAAAGAACAUUAACAUCCAGAAAGUGCCUCUAGUGGCUGUAUGGUAAACAGCCACUGGAGGCAGACUUAGUUCUUCAAGGUAAACAUUGCAUUUUCUCCAGAACUGUUUUACAUUGCAGUACUAAGUGCAAUAGGGACAGUGCACCCAUACCACUUCAAUGAGCUGAAGUGGCCUGGAUGCUUAUAGUGUUCCUUUAAGUGUUCUGUUAAUAUUUAUACAUUACUCAAAACAGUGCUGAGCUGCUAACCAAUGUAGCUGUGUAAUUUCAGCAAUGCUUAUAAAGUCAAGGUUAUCCAUGCAUGUAGAAUGGGAAUACAGGGUUGUAUUUGUGUGGAGUGUGUGUAUGUGACUGCACUUUUCAUGUCCCCUUUCCAUUCACCCCUACCUCUGCCUAUCCAAUCCCUCUCUCCCUGCGCCCUUACUCUAAUCAUCCUUGCCCUUCUCAUCCUUGUCAUAUGACCCUUCUUCUACCCAUCCAUGACUCCUCUCCUUAGUUUAAAUUUAUUGAGGUCCUAUCUUGUUAUCAUACUGGAGGGGAGAGUCAUCAUCCCUGACAUUCUUAGUUUGAGGCAGCUAAGGUGAGCUGGGUGGUAGCAAACUCUAAACACUGCUGCCUCCUCACUUCUUCUAUAAUCUACACUGAUGUCAUGAAUCACUUCAGUACAAGGCACCAGGAUCUAUGUUUAGAACUUUGCACUAUCCAUAAUCCUUGAGAUUCCAGAGCUCCUGCCAGCUUCCUUAUUUCCAUAGUGGAAAUUCUAAGUCCUUGUAUUACAUCCUUUUAUGAUUUGCCUGAAUGAAUUUCUAUGUUCAAGUGAGAUUAUUUAUACUAAAAAUAUAUAUUUGUUUAAUCAGUGGCAAUAGAUAGAGUCCAGGGUUAGUUCACAGUUGGCUAAAUAAUUAGUCAUUCAUAAGUCUCGCGUUCCUUUUUAAGGCUCUCCCCCUAAAUAAAAAAAUUAUACAAAAAACAACAAAGCAUGCUGCUCAGCAUUGCUCAUGAACACAGAGGUGGCUCGUGGUCAGCAAAUUUGCUAAGUCUCCAGUUUUUGUAGAAUAUUUGAGAAUUUUUCCACAAUAAAUGGCCAUUGAAAACCCAACCCUUUUGCUCAAUCGAUCAAAGAAACACUGAAGGCUAGAGUGUAUCUCCAUUUCAAAUGCAUCAUACAACCAUUAAAAUUAUGAAAAAUGAAAAAAAUACUUUAAUUUGAAGUUCCUUUCCUUUGCUGUAACCCUUCAGCUUCUAAACUGAGCUCUCAUUAAAUCACAUAAGUGACCGUUCUACUGUCUCUCGCAAACACUUCCCGGAACCUAAGUAAAUAACAUCUUUCAUUUUAGGCGUUUGUUUAGAUUGCAUGCAUUGUUCCAGUUAUGCAAACUGUGUAGCUUUCUAGGUAUUUUCCGGCCAUACACAUCAUAUUUACUCUAUGUACCAGGAGUGCUCAGAUAUUUCUAAUUUCCUUUACUAAACCUGCUCUAACCGAAGCAUCUGUUUUUUUUACAUCUUAGUAAGAAUCUACUGUACACAUCACCAUUCAAUUUCAGCAAGGAAUUCUACAGAAAUGUUUGGAUCCAAAAAGAAAAUUCUAAUUUAUUUUAAAUAGUUAUAAAACAAAAAUAAAAAAAUAAAGCAAGGGUAAAUGAUUCAAGAGACUAUGUUAAAGGGGAACUAUCACCAGAAUUUUAAUGCUAUGUUUAUUUAUCUUCUAUAUUUAGAAAAAUAUAUUAUUACACAUUAUUUUGUUUAUAAGCUCUGCCACUUUUGGUAAUUUAAAAAGGACAUUGCACCUGUGAGUCAGUAUAGAGAUCUCACCAGACCUUUGGUGAAAUGGAACAGUUAAAAGCAUAGACUUGUAGCACAGAUAUGUCAAUGUCUUAUUUUUCAGAACCUGCAAGGCAGGAAAAGGAGUUCAGGAUUUCAGGAAACAAGUACAACGAGGAAUCAGACAGUACUCAAGAGUUCAAGAAUUUAAAGGAUCACUCCAAGUUCAUAGUGCACUUUGGUGGUCAUGGUGCCGGAUGUGUCCAGGCAAACCUUCCCCCAAUGCAAGUAUUUUAUCCAUUUUCUGUGAGGUGCACUCCCGCCUUCUAUGAGAGCUAGAAGUUCUCUGCAUGAGCUAGGCACAGUGGUGCAGGGCCUAACUCAUUGUGUCAGGGAGUGUGUGUGUAGGCAUGUAGGAGGCUGAAUGUUUACUUGUAUUUGUGAGUGACUGAGUUAAUUGUGCCUUUUAAUUUAAAUUAAAAUAAAUAAAUAAACCAAACUGUCUUAAUGCUAUGAAGCUCUUCUGUGGAUACUUUUUGUUCAUCAAGGUCAUUUAAAAAAAGCUGGCAGCCAAACUCAGGGAACACCUAAUGAAUUUUCCUUGCUGCUGUGCAGCUCCAGUAAGGUAUUUAACAGGCUGGAAAUUUUUUUUACACUUCCUGAAGACAAUGAGAGAAAAAUUUCUUUGAAAACAAAAAGAAGUAGUACAAAGUAGCCAACUAACAGGCACAAAAGGGCCAUGGGGAAACAAAAGAGACAAAGGGAGACGCAUAGGUGCAGUGGUGGAACUAAUGUAAAGUAGGUCCUGGAGUAAGACAUUUUUGGGUUCACCUCUAGCACAACGGUGGCCAAUAGGCACAUCGCCAUAUCCCAGAAUGCUUUUCCAGCUGGGGAUAUACCACUUGUCCAUCAUUUUGCAGGGUUUUAUUUGUGAGCAGGCAUGUUUUGUAUAGAGGCAUGUUUUGUUUUGUUUGAUAACAUGGGCAUGUUGUAUAGGUGCAUGACAUUCAAAUCCCUAUCUUCCAAUACCGCCAUCUGUUCAGGGGAGACAGUGGCAGGAUUAUUUUGUGUCAAUUGGACACAAAAUGUUUGCUAACAGGAGAGUGGCUGCAAAUAUAGAAAUUGUGACAAAUAUGUGUGUAUGUGUCUAUGUAUGUAAGAUUGUUUUUGGUUGUCCUCAAAGAGCUUGUCAGCUUGUAACUUUUGCCCUCCAGCUCUGCCACCUGAUGCCGAUCCUGAGGGGGUGGAACCUAUGAGAGGGGUAGGACUUAACAUGAGGGGGCAGAGCCUAGCACUGCACACCCUGCUGGCUAUGAAUGUUUUCAUGUUUAUGUUAUGUUUAUGUGAGUGCCAACUUCCUGUUUUCCAGCGUAAAAGAUGGUGUUGUAGCGUUACUUACCUUAUCCAGGGGCCGGCCGCGGUCCUCUCUUCGAGCCGCAUGCGGUCCUGCUGCUGCACGAGCCUCGCGCGGCUCAUACGACGGCUUCAAUAGGAAGGCGGGCAGUGGCCGCGAGAAGCGGUCACGUGUCCCGCCUGAAUCUAAGAGCGCGCCGCGAGUCUCGGGCGCGCUCUUAAAGAGACAGUGGUAGCCUAAAUUGUGGAUAUGACAGGAGCCAAUCACAUUAGUUUAGAAGCUAUUUAAACUUACCUCUCCCUUUACUCCCUGCCCUAUCGUGGUUUCUGUUUCAGUUCCCUUUAGCGCUUGUUGUGUUCAGUUGUGUUUUCUUCGUAUUGACUUUGGCUUUGUUUCUGACUACGUUUUCUCUUUAUCCUUAUCUGUUCUGGUUGCCGGCUUGCUGUUUACUGUGUACCAGACCCCGGCUAGUCCUAGUUUACGCUGUCUUUCUGUGCCCUUGACUUCGGAUCGUUCCUGACUCUGUCUCCUCUCAUAUACGUCGAGUCCGGCCAUUCUAAGGUCCGGUAGACGUAUCUCUCCUCUGUGUUGUAUUCUGUUUAGCUGAAUCCUGUGUGUUGGGGUAUAUUCUCGUUACAGGUUUUUAAUGAGUCAGUGUGCUGGAUUCUCUAUGUAAUAUAUGUGUGUUAAAUUUGUUUCUAAAUUUUUCUUUAUCGGCAUUUUACUUAUUUACCUUUUUACAAUGAGAAUCUCCAGAAGCCCACCCCUUUUCUUACUGUUAUCAUUAUGUCUCUUAAUUGGCCUAUAUCUCCAUUUGAGUGUCUGUAGGCUGAUUGGUUAUAACAGAUUGCUGUUACACUUAUGUACACUUAUGUUGAAAGCGGCAUUACUAUGCAGCCUCAGUGUUUUGUGGGAAUGAUUUACUAAGCCAUGUAAAUGAUUCAGUAAACAAUUUACUCAAUAACAGCAAAUUGUAUUCUAUUAAAUUGUAAGGCACACGAUAUAUGUAUACCGAAGGAACAUUUGUUAAUUUGCGGGAACUAAAUCAUUUUCUAAAUUUCAUAAAUCGUGUGCACUCUUUGUGAAAACUUUUCUGUCUUCUUACUGCAGGACUCCUUACAAAACACAGAAGAAGAUACUAUGAAGAAUUAAAUCCCUUCUUUUAAAAAAAAAUUUAUACUUAACGUUUUAUUGAUAUUUUUGGUGAAAUACGGGUAUUGGGAUACAAAAAUAAGAAAAGGGGAGGGAAAGGGUAAGGGGAUAUCUGAAAUAGUUUAAAUUAAUUGUGCAUGAAACUUAUACAUUUGUUUAUUGAGCGUAUACUACUUUGUCAGGGUUAUUAGUACAAAAAAUGUGCUUAAUUCACUAAUACCGGCUUUGUCAACCUGGAUCCUUUGUGGUGACAAAACCACAAAUUUCAGUCAGAGAGGACUGCAGUCCAUUGGCAGAGGGAAAUUUGGGCGAGCAUAAGGUCUACGAUCUGAGUAUCCAACAAUCGUUCAACCUGUGUCAGGGUGUACUAACAUCAGCCUGUAUGGUAUGGGCGUGCGUAUUAGGCUCUUGCAUGUGGUGGGAGGGAGGGGUGAGGGGAGGAGUUGGAAGGCAAAGAAAGGGGGUAUUACAUGUACUAAUCUUUAUAGGUAGAACUUUGUUUACACCUUGCUUGGAUUAUUCGGGUGUUUUACUAUAUAUUUCUAAGUAGUACGUGGCACUAUAGCUCCCCAUCCUGUAAGUAGCACCCCAGCCUUAUAUGUACAGGGGUAAGAAAAGGCUCCAGUGGUCUGCGGUUAGGGUGGUUGUGUCGAGUGUAGUAUGACCCAGGGUUCCCACGUUUCGUGGAAUUUUUUUUAUCUGUUUGUAGGAGGUGAAGGACAUACGCUCAAAUAUGAAAUAUUGAUGGAUUUUGUCCAGCAGUUGCUGUUUGGUGGGGCAGGAUGUUUGUUUCCAGUUGGCUGCUAUUAAAUUUCUUGCUGCAGGGAUAGUGAUUAAUGUCACCUGUUUUAGGGCCUUGGUCAGCUUUGGGUGGGAAAAGAAGUAGGCAGGCAGUCGGGUUAAGGGGUAUAUCUUUGAUGCCCAGAGUCCUAAGAGUGACCCGCACGUUGUCCCAUAAGGGUGCAAGGAUGGAACAAUCCCACCAUAUGUGGGUCAUCGUCCCCUUCGUAUGGCCACAUCUCCAAAAAAACUCCAGGCACCUCGGGAUAAAUUUUGUGUAACCUGCUAGGUGUUAGGUACCACCUGUAUACUAACUUCGUAUGGGCUUCUAUAUAGAAACAUAGAAAAAACUCCAGGCACCUCGGGAUAAAUUUUGUGUAACCUGCUAGGUGUUAGGUACCACCUGUAUACUAACUUCGUAUGGGCUUCUAUAUGAGAGUAACAGUUGGUGAUGCCCCGAAGAGCAUUGAUCGAGAGUAGCCAGGUUUGCCCGGAGGGGGAGGAACUGUAUUCCAAUUGCCAUUGGUGUUCAAAAGGGAAAGUUUUUUCAGGUUUGUUGCUUAGUAAGGAGCAAUAACAUAGAGAUAGUGAUUUGGGUUUUGUGGGUGUUUGCCAGUAUUUAUCAUGGAUAGGGUAUAUCUGUCAUGAAUCAUAAUGAGCAAGUUCUGUUUGCGUUAGUACUCUUGUAUUUAUGAUGCUUUUUAAUUGGAGAUAUUGGAAAACAGAGGAGUUAAGUAGGCCAUAUUUGGUCUGGAGGUCUGGAAAGGGUAGACUUUGGUGUUGGUGAAAUACAUCUGCAAUACGGGAGAUGCCACAUUUUGUCCAGGUGUUUAAAGUCAACCAUGGGGAAAGUGUGGUCAGCGUUCGAGGGUAAAAUUUGUUGUCUGUUCUGGUUUCGGUGUAGUGCAUACCAAUGGUGGAUUGUUAGGGUAGUAGAGUGAAAAGGAUUGGACAUGUCUGAACUGAGUGGUUUGGGUGUCCAUAAGGCAAGCAGCAAAGAGCCCCCUUGGGCUUUUACAUGCUCCAUGUCCACCCAUUGGAAAGUUCCACUACGUGCAUGGAAUUUUAUUGCUGCUUCAAGUAGAGAGGCUUUAUAAAAAUUCAGUAUGUUAGGCAAUCCUACCCCGCCUUGGUCAGUGUGCCUCUGGAGAAGUGCAAGGGAGAGUCGUGGUCUAUGGGAUUCCAAUAUAAAGGAUGUGAGGGUAGACUGAAGCAUCCCUGCCUGGUACUGUUUGUGAUGUGGAAUGGUUUUGAGAGGAAUCCGAAAUUGGAUACUCUCGCAUGUGGGUCAUUGUAGAGGGCCAUGAUUCCCGAGAUGAGGUGGUUGGGGAAGACAAAUUUGUGGAGUACUUGUGUCAUGUAUCGACCGGUUGAGUUUGUCAAAGGCCUUCUCUGCAUCUAAGGCAAGAAGAAGGCCCUGGGUUUGUGUCGUGUGCAUAUGUGUCAAUACGUUCAAGAUUUUCCAGGUAUUGUCCGAGCCUUGUCUCCCCUUGAUGAACCCAGAUUGGUUGUUAUAGAUCAGUCUUGGUAAUAACGUGGAGAGUUUGUUAACUAGGAGUUUGGCAUACAUUUUGACAUCAACGUUUAAAAGGGAAAUUGGUAGAAAGUUUUGACACUGUGUUGGGGGUUUGCCUGGUUUAGGUAAAGUCGAUAUGUGUGCUAGGAGCAUGUCGCUUGGCAUCUGUCCCGUAAUAUAGCAUGAGUUGUAUAGGUAUGUCAGGUAGGGUGAGAGGGUACUCGCAUAGGUCUGGUAAUAUAGGCUAGGGAAGCCAUCUGGGCCUGGUGCUUUUUGUUUGGGCAGGUCCUGAAUGGCUUUUUCUAUCUCAGGGAUAGAAAAUGGUGAAGUGACUGCUUCAAUUUCGGUGACUUGCAAGGUGGGUAGAUCUAUUGUCUGUAGAAACGUUUAAAUAGAGUGAAGACAGGGAGGGGUGAAAUUUAAGUCAUCUUUAAUGUUGUAAAGAGAAUUGUAAUAGGAUGCAAACUCGUCUAGGAUGACUUGUGGGUUGAGUAGUUUACCUUUUUGGGCAGAUUGUAUGUACGCUCUUCUUGUUUUUUGUGAGCGUGCCUUGAGCUGAGUUGCUAAAAGGGCACCUGCUUUAUUCCCUUGGGCGAAAUCUGUGACGGUAUAUAUGUAGGAGAUAGGUAGUUUUUUCUAGUUCUAGGGUUUUAAGUUCCUCUUGGAGGGAGGUCAGCUUAGGUUGCGUGUCUCUGGACAGGUUUAGUUUGUUUUUGUGUGUUAAUUCAGUAAUGUCGUGUACCAGCGUUGUGUAGUGAUGCUUGCGAAUCUUGUUUUGGUAGCUGGAGAGCUUAAUAAACGCACCCUGUAUCACUGAUUGUGGGCUUGCCACACUGUUUCAAUAUUUGUAUCCGAGGGGUUUUAACUGCAAAGUAGGACAUAAGGUCCUCUUUUAUUGUGGAAACCAGUUCUUGAUUUUUAAGUAGUGCAUUGUUAAACUUACAUGUACCCUUACCAAUGGAAGGGAAUUGCUCCCAGAAGGUCGGUGUAAUGGACGCAUGGUCAGACCACGAUAUGAGGCCUAUAGUGGCUGCUUGAGUUUUGCCAAUCAAGUGUGUGGGUAUCAAGAACUUAUCUAUUCACGUAUAAGUGUUGUUUACUGCAAAAAAAAAAGUGGAAAGUGUAGUCGAUUUCUUUAGGGUGGAGUAUUCUCCAGGGGUCAAUAAAGUCAUGACGUAGAAUAGUAUUAGACAUUUUGGAUGCUAUGGUUAGUUGUUUCUUUGCUGUGUGUGCGUGGACUAAGUGGGUAGAUGUUGUAUCAGUAGAGGUAUUCAUGUGGAAGUAUGUGUCGCCUCCUGGUAUGACUUCACUAAAUUGGUAAAGUGAGAUUAAGCUAAACAGUUUGACAAAAACUCCUAUUGGUUUUCGUUUGGACCAUAAAUAUUGACUAGCGUGUAGUGGGCAUUGUCUGUCUUGUUUAUCGCUUAUCUUUUUAACUAGUGUUAAGGAGACAUUCUUACUGAUCAGUGUGGAUACUCUGCGUUUUUUUGUUUUGAAGCAGGAAUGGAAGUCGUGGGGAAAGAGGGCAGAGCAGAAUGUAGGCUUGCCUCCCCAUUUAAAAUGGGUUUCCUGGAAAAAGGCCACUUGUGCUUUAUGAUUUUUCAUUUCUGCUAAGGCUAAGCUCCCCUUGUUGGGCCAAUGUAAGCCCUUAGUGUUUAAAGAUAAUAUUGUGAUGGUCAUUGGUAUUGAGUGUGGUUUCUUGCAUUGACACACAGGAAGUCCCUUCCCCACUGCACUCUUCUUGUUCUAGCCUGGACCUCUGUCAAAAUAAUCAGAGUCUAGUCUGGGAAAUGAAAAAUGCCAUACUGGCAGUUUGGAUUUGAUCGGUGUAUCGAGGGGCAAGGGUAUGGACUGUUGGUCCGGACAAUGAUAAUCCCGGGUCAUAUGGAAUAGGUGUACAUAGUGUGUACAUAGCCCAUCAAUAGAGCAAUUUCGUACAUGUGUAGGUUGCAGACAUAAGUAAAAAUUAAACAUUAUAAACAACAGAACUACAUACAAAGAGCCGUUGAAGAUGGUACAGUGUAGUACAGACGGCAUAUGUAAGGCUAUACAUAGCAUGCUGGGGGGUAGGUUUGUCUCCCUACAGGAGAUCAUUGCUGUGUCGUGGGAAGUCUAGAGGUGUAUAAUCUCUAGUGUGGUGCAGAUUUCCUUAAUAAAGCCUUGAACUGAAUAAUAUAGAAUUUUAAAUAAUAAGCAUGUGAUAUGUUAGGCCUCAGUCCGUAUGUGAGGUCAGGUUUCUGUCGUGUGAAACCUAGUCACUUAGCUGUGGAUGUGGUAUUCCAGACUCUGGAAAUUCUUGUUGGAGAACGGUGGGUCGGUGGUAAGCUUCCAUACUCCAUACAGUUUGUGUCCAUCUUCAAGUGUGAAGAUAUGUUUUUCUGUUCCGUUGCGUCGAAUCAUGCGCCGAGCUGGGAAUCCCCAUCGGUAGAUGACUCCGGCUUCUCUCAAGACUGAUGUUAUGGGUGUCAAGGCUUUCCUCUUGAGGAGCAUGGCAGCAAAGAGGUCAGCAUAUAUCUCUGAGAAUUUGUCUGGCAAGGUCUGUAGGAGUUUAGAGGCUUUCAUAUUUUUUUCCUUUGAGGUACAUCACGUGGGAGAGAUGUAGGUAGAUUUCUUGGCCUUGGGAGUCGGUGGAGUCUAUUGAGCAGGAGGUCUUGCGUGGACAAUUCUGGUACCAGCGCUGCGAAGAGGACUGUGGCGUAUGUGUUUAGGUCCUGGGAGGCUAUGUCUUUAGGUACCCCCCUCAGACGGACAUUGCUUCUCCCGCCACUUUGUCUGUGAGAGAGUCCGGUCUGGCUGUGAUAUCUGUGAAGGCGUCAGCCAAGGUAUUGUGGGGACGGAUAAUUUUGUCUGUCUUGUCUUCAAGAUGUGCAGUAAUCUUACCUAAGGUUUGUAUGUCUGAUUUGAUGUCACGGCAAGUUUUUCCAACGCCAAUUGCAUAGAGCUUUUGAGCUCUGACAGCAUUUUGUUUAUCGAUGGGUCUGUCGCCGGAGUAAACGCAGGCACCGAAAUGGACGUGCUAUCACUAUUAUCAGAGUAUGAUGCUGGAGAGCUCGGGCUAUCAGUGCCAUCUUGGUUUCUCACACACGGCGAGGCCAGCACUGAUAUAAGCAGAUCCGCCGGUUUUUGCUUGUUUUUAUUUUACGGAGCGAUGUGCCAUGGAAGUCGGGCACUUAAGUUACCAUAAUAGAGCUUAUUGUGGGAAACUGAAUGCUUGUUUAGUCGCUGUGCUUGGUCUCGAUGUAUCGGAGCUCAUGGCUUACACGGUAAUCUUGGUCAGAUGUGAGACCACGCCCAUAGUUAAAUACUUUUGAGUUAUUAUACAUGUAGAAUAUUUAAAUUAUUUUAAAUUAAAAAAUUACACUGUAAUCUUCCAUCUGCCGGUUUUCCCCUUCCCAAUUGCUUAAUGAUAAUAUUGACAUGGACAUACCGUUUGAACCUAAGUAACAGAGUUUUUAGGUGGGGGGCAGUGUUGGCCAUCUGCCAUGGCCUAGCAAGUUGGGACAGUGAAAGUGCGGUCACUAGGAGCUUUGGCGUUAUAUUGGAGUGUCCUUCUCCUAGAUGAAUGGCUUGACAGGUCUAUGAGCUUCAUCUGCCUGAGUUUGGGCCAUUUAUGGCCAGCAUGCAGGAGUCAGCAUGCAUGACUAAGGUGUUGGACACUAGUUUGUCUGACUUCUCAGUUAAGACAACUUGGAGGCACCCUCGGUCCAAAGAUUGACACCUUAUAGAUUAAAUCAUGGUGUGCCAAAGAGACAUUUGAGACGUCCUAUUUACUCAAGUAAUGCCCAGUGCAGAGUGUCAUAUGGACCAUCAUCUUGUAAGAUGUAAGCUAUGUCUCCACUUACAACGCAAGGAGCUCCAAACAAAAGGUAUCAGAUUGGUAAUUUCUAGUCAGUUGAGGUGAAUGCUGAAUUUCAAGCAGUUCAGUUGAGGCUCAACGUUUGCAGCUGCUUUGUGAACCCCUUCUCAAAAGAGCUUUGGGAAGUUCUAAAAUUGGCCACCCAGAAGAUUUCGAAGAGGUUUAAGGGUUCACAACAAAGAAGAACAAAGAUUGGUUUGAUGAGAACAAUCAGGAGAUCCUGAUGCUGAUGAAAAAGAGAUCUGCUCACCAAAAGCACCUUGCUUAACCAUCUUGCCAUCAUGAGAUAGAAGCCUUCCACCUUGUAUGCAGAAACCUCCAGUGCAAGCUCCAAGAGAUUAGGAAUAAGUGGUAGACAAACCUUGCAGAGAGAACUCUGCUUUGUGCAGAUGUUGGUGACUGCAGAGGGUUUUUGAAACCCUGAAGGCAGUGUACGGUCCUUCACACAAACAGUGCAGAUGGUCAAACACUCCUCACAGAAAAGGCGCCAUCCUGAAACUAGUUCCAGUCGCUCUUCAGCAUCAACUGCAUGGUACAUGUAUCUACACACCAUCGCAUCCCACAACAGCCCAAAAAAAGUUGGACAAGAUUUUUACUCUUGAAGAGACUGUUAAGGCUAUUAAGUUUGGAAGUAUGUAAAGUACACACUAACUUCAUGAUUUCUUUGUCUGCUGCUGGGAACAAGGCAAACUACCUCCAGGACCUCCUUGAUAAAACAUUCAUCACCAUGUAUAAGAACAAGGGACAAAAGUCUGACUGCUUAAACUAUCGGGAUAACACCUGUCGCAGGAAAAAUCUUUGCAAGGGUACUUUUGAACAGAUUGGCACCCACCAUUAUAGAAGAACUCUUUGCAGAGAACCAAUGCAGCCUCAGAGCUAGAAGGAGCAAGAUCGACUGGCAUUUGUUCUCAGUCAGCUCCAUGAAAAAUGUUGGGAACAGAACAAGGCAUUGUACAUGACGUUCAUAGACCUCACCAAAGUGGUCAACACUGUGAGCAGAAAAGGUAUGUGGCAAAUCUUGGAAUGCCAAGGAUGACCUCCUAAAUUCCUCAAUAUGAUAAUUCAGCUACAUGAAGGUCAACAUGGCCAAGUCAGCCACAGCAAUGACGUCUCGAAACCCUUCCUUAUAGGCAAUGGUGUAAAACAAGGCUGUGUUCUUGCACCAACUCUCUUCACAAUCUUUUUUUAGUUUGAUGCUUCAAAAGGCCACUGAAGAGCUUGAUAAAGAGGAUGGUGUCUAUAUCCAUUACCCCACUAAUGGCUGCGUAUUUAACCUGAGGCAACUACAGGCCCACACCAAGAUGGUGGACCAACUCAGAGAGCUGCUUUUCACUGACAAUGCUGCCCUUGUUUCCCACAUUGUGACAGCCUUGCAGCAAAUAACAUCCUGCCUCAUGAAGUUUACCAUUUCCCUCAUAUCACCAUUUGUGCAUCGUAGCUGAAGACAGUCCAUCAGUUCAGCUACGUUGGUUGCAUCAUCUCUUAGGACGCCAAUAUUGACAAAGAGAGAGAUAGCAGACUGGAAAAGUCAAACAGAAUAUGCAGCAGACUGUAUGAGAGUCUGCAUAACAAACAUCUAAAGAGUGGCACAAAGUCUUUGGUUACCUAUCGUCAUCACCUGUGACUCCUUGAGUACUUUCAUCAAUGCUGCCUUGGCACAAUACUUAAAAUCCAUUGUAAUGACUUCAUAACCAGCGUUGAAGUUCUUGAACAGGCAGAGACAACCAGUCUCUGAAGAUCAUUGCCUACCUAAGGUUGUGCUGUAUGGUGAACCCACCACUGGGCACAACAACAGUGGAGCACCAAAGAAGAGGUACUAGGACUCUCUGAAGAAAUCACUUUGUGCCUGUCAUAUUGACCAUUAUCACUGGCCUGCUCUAACCUUUGAUCACGAGAAUUGAAGACAUACCAUUCAUCAGGCUAUCUCCUCUUUCGAGAAUGCUUGCAGGGCAGAUAUUGAGUAUAAAAAGAAACAGAGGAACCUUGACAUUGUGGCAGAGUCAGACCAGAUUUUCCCUUCCAGCUGCUGAAGCUAGAUCUGCCUUUGGCUCCAUCAGCCAUGGGCUUGUCUGCAGCAGUAAUGGACAAACUGCUUCCUAAAUCUUCAAGCCAAGAAUUACAUUCAAACAAAACAAAAACAAAAAUUCCAGCUUUUACUAAUCACUGUCAGCAUUGACACAUUGGUAAACUUGUCAGUGUUGUAUCCUUCUGUAGGAUUUUAGAUGUGUUAGUGAAGAAGCAGACAAAUUCACAUUUUUUAAUUGGGUGAAUUGUGGCCCAUGUUGUAACUGGCAUGCAAACCAGCCUCUCUGAAUAUGCCAAUCAAUCUAAUUUUUCUUUGCUUCACUCCUGCUGUAUGCAAGGUGGAUGGAGGUAAACAGAGGAACAAGGUUGAUACUUUAAUUAUGCUAAUGCAGCUUCUAUUACAAGUUGCAGCUUUGAAACCUUCUAAAAGGUAAACUUUAACCUCACAGAAGCCUGCAAUUCAGAAGGUAACAGCUUCUCACUUCCUGAAAGAUGCUUCAUGUGAUAUUUCCAAUGCAUGCUCUCCAGAAGUAUUCAGAAGUUGUUGCAAAUGCCUUGGGCAGUGAUCUCUACAAUUAGACCAACUUAAGUACUAUUGGAAUUUAUGGAAGAAAAUGUUAAAAAAAGAAAAAGCAUACUCCCUUUAAAAUAGACCUACUAUAGACAUACAUUGUUUUAAUUUAGAUUAAAAACCAUGUAAUUAACUAAAUGUUGCAACACCUUAUUAUAGGUCUAAAUACACUGCCUGGCCAAAAAAAAAAGGUCAAACACUCUAAUAUUUCGUUUGACCACCUUUUAUUUUGAUUAUGGCAUGCAUUCAUUGUGGCAUUGUUUCGAUAAGCUUCUGCAAUGUCACAAGAUUUAUUUCCAUUCAGUGUUGCAUUAAAUUUUCACCAGGAUCUUGUAUUUAUGAUGGAGAGUUGGACCACUGCACAAAGCCUUCUCUAGGCCAUCGCAAAGAUUCUCAAUGGGGUUAAGCCCUGGACUCUGUGGUGGCCAAUCCAUGUGUGAAAAUUAUGUCUCAUGCUCCCUGAACCACUCUUUCACAAUUCGAGCCUGAUGAAACCUGGCAUUGCCGUGCCAAUAUGGAAGAAAAAAUCCAUUGAUGGAAUAACCUGGUCAUUCAGUAUAUUCAGGUAGUCAACUGACCUCGUUCUUUGGGCACCUAAUGUUGCUGAACCUAGACCUGACCAACUGCAGCAACCCCAGAUCAUAGCACUGCCCCCACAGGCUUGUACAGUAGGGACUAGACAUAAUGGGUGCAUCACUUCAUCGGCCUCUCUACUUACCCUGAUUCGCCCAUCACUGGUGGUUUCCCACUAUCCUUCCUGUUUUUAACCCAAAUUUAGUAGUUUCUGCUAUCUCCUUAGAUAUUUUCUCUGCUUGAUGCAUGCCAAUGAUUUGACCCUUCCCAAACCGACUAACAUCUUUUCCACAACCACAGGAUAUGUCUUUCGACAUGGUUGUUUAAGAAAUGAGAAGCUACUCAUUGCACCAGCUGGGGUUAAAUAACUUGUUGCCAGCUGAAAGAUAAUCGCCCAUGCAGUAACUAUCCAAUAAGAGACUCUUACCUAUUUGCUAAGUUAAAUCCAGGUGGAAAUACAUACUGUGGCAGUAUACCCUUGAGAAGAUGGGUUACUACUGCCUAGGUCAGGGAUAGGCAACCUUCGGCACUCCAGAUAUUUUGGACUACACCUCUCAUAAUGCUUUGCUAGCAUUAUGGGUGUAAGAGCACUAUGGGGGAUGUAGUCCACAACAUCUGGAGUGUCGAAGAUUGCCUAUCCCUGGCCUAGGUUGUCCCUAUCCAGUUGUGAAUAACUCCAGAGUGAUUAUACCAUCCUGAACAGAAUACUGCUGUGUCACCUAAACACCAGCCAAGACUUAGUGAAGGGUGAAGAAGAACUGGUUUAUUAGCUAUGGCUAGCCCGAAUUAGGGAGAAGUAUAAAGUUUCAGUGGAACAUGGAUAGCCGCCGAUGCGACACAGGGCUCCAGAGUGCUUGGUAGAGUUUCCUGGUCACCUUAAACCACUGCGCUUUUCGUGAGUACAUGAAGCUCUCCCAAAUCAUCCUUGGUGUGGUUCAAUGCCUCUCCACCUCCUCUGUUUAUUCUCCAAAGAGCACCCUGAUUGAGUGUUCUGUGAAUAAAAAGCACUCUGAUGAAAGUUUUAGCAGACUGCGGUGACUCUGAUAUCCAUUUCAGAGUUCCAGUGUAAUUUAGAGUCAGGGUAAUUUAGAGUCAGGGGCACCAUGUCUCAGCACUCCAGUUGGUGAAAGAUGUGCCAUUCUGGAUAGCCAUGAAAGAGUCUGGGCAGGGAGACAUGGGCUGGAGGGUUAGUCCAUAGUGAAUAUAGUCUCUUUGGAGAAGGUAGGGUGUCAGGGAGACAUGGACCCAACCUAGUUGACCAGAGGAUUUGUCACACAUGCCUGUGCAACAAAGUUACAAAAAAAUAAAAUAAAAGAUGCCUUCUAAUUUCUUGCUUCAACUCCAAGACGUUUUGAAUGCUUGUUUGGUUUUCAUAAAAGCUGGAUCACAAUUAAUCUCUAACCCCUAUUGUGUGUGAACAUCACACUAGGAUUUCAGUAAUCAAAAUGUAAUUCAUUUUAUUAACAGCAUCUAGAUAUAAAUAAAUAAAUUAAACACUUUACGGGGUCUUACUAGAUACAGCUUUAUAUGGGUUAAUUGUCCAGGAGAGUAGGAAGAGGUAGUGUUAUACAGUUGGAUUAAUUUUUAACAUGAAAGUAAUCAAGUACAUUAUCAGGGUUAGUCACUAAACUCUUAAUUUUUCAAAAAUUAUAAGUUUAUUGAAUAACCAAGCCUGUGUAACGUGUGUCAGAAAAUUGGUGAAUUGAAUACUAGAGAUAGACUACCAUUUUUAAGAGUUGUUUCAUGUAAUUAUUAAAUGUAAGCCUCUUAUCGUUAAGUGAUCUCAUUCCCAUGGCAAUCCUUUGUUCUUAUUAAAGUGUAUUCAUUUACUACAGCUAUUGUCUUGAGAAAUUGAAAGGCACUAGGAUGACAGAAUAGUGAAAGCAACUUCCAACAAACAUCCCACCACUAAUGACUUAAUAUCAUGCCUCAUAUGUUGGAUAACUUAAAAACAAAAGAGAGAGCCUUUAAAAACAAACCUGUAUCAUACUUUCUAGACAAGGAAAUGUAGUCCGAGGCCUGCCCUUCCUGAUGAUUUGUAUUAUUACAUUAAUAGCUCUUUGGUUUGCUAUACUUGGUUGGUGGUUUUGAAACAAUAAGACAUGCAUAAUGCUGGUAAAAAUAUGAAAAGUGUAAAAAAAACAAAAAAAACUGUUUUUAAGACAAACCAUAAAGACUUAUCCCUUCUGUGAUCAUUAUUCCUGGAUCAAGAAGAUCCAGAAAAUAAAUACCACUAAUUUAUAGAAUUGAAUUACCUACCUUUACCAAAAUUUUGUGUAGAGGAGAACUACAUGACUUACAUGAAUUCUUUAAAUUACGCUCUUUGAGUUCAGUUUGCAGAAUGUGUCAGACCUCAUUUAGCCUAUAAAAAGAUGAAAAAAUCAGGGCUAUAGUGAGCUACAUAUAUUGUGGCAUUACAUAAAAUGUUGUGUGAGUCGGUAAUGUAAUAAAUUCUAGUUUAUUCAAACAUCCAUAUGAAUACAUUCCAAACUAAUAAAUUCAAUCAACCACCUGUUUGACGGACAAACGCAAUACUCAAUAAUGACGUCACUUGGAGAAGUUCAUAAACGCAAGGUCAAAACCUAAACUGGAGGCUAAGGUAACAGAUAAUUGUUUGAAGAAUUCCCAUAUCAGAGUACACUACGUAAAGCUAUAGUCAACAACAGUCAGUCUUCGAUCAGGAAAUUCCAGAAAUGAUAGUCAUGUUAUAUAACCUAUUGUGAAAGCCGAAAGGAAUGUUAAAUGUCUAGCUCUGUAUCUGUGAGGCACUAUUCUGAACCAAAUAUCUCUACAGCACCUCAGGUUUUUUUUUUUUUGCUUGUUCCAACCUAUUUUGCUUUGGGAUAUAUGGCUGCUCAGUAGCUGACGGUCUAGUCCCAUUUCAAGCCCCCACACACUGGAAUUUUGCGGCAGUAUAUAAUACAGUAUAUUAACAAUGAGAUAAGACUGGUCCUGCUAGGGCCUCACCCAUUGCCAUCUCUUCUUAACUCCCAUGGAGCUUCUUUAGGAAAGGAUGAGCGGGAGUAAUAUAAUAUACAUUGAUAUAAUUUCUUCUUAUUGCCGCCACACAAGUUGCCCUCUCCUCUGCAGUUCCAUAAUACAGUCUGGUUAAGGGAGAUAUAUAUAUUUUAUAAUUCUUUAUUUUUGCAGUGCAAGGCAUGUCAUACAUGCUUUCAAAUCAUUACAACAAAGCUUUUGUGAGUAAUGUAAACAGAAUGUGUUGUCAAUGGAAAUGCACUUUUUUCAUGUAAAGAAGAUAUCAGAAGCAUUAUUCUAUGAGGCAAAAACAAAGAGAAACGUAAGAGUAUAAUAAGAACAGAGCUAAGGAAGUUUCUGGAUAAGUAGAUUAGACUAUCAAAGUCAGGUAGUAAGACAAGCUAGAACAACAUAGUCUCAGAAACAACUAGACAACAUAAAAGGCCUGAGGCUUGUUCAGCCAAUGCCAAGAAAUGGUGAAUCCCUGCUGCUACUGUCUGCCAUGUUAUGAAGGCUCCUCCAUCUGAUCCAGGCCGCCAAACAGUCUGGUAAUAUUUCCCUCGGGGUGGUAAUCAGAGCUUGUUAUAGCAGCCCCUGGGUCAUAUAGGCCAGAUUGCAUGGGUUAAAGACCUCUGGGUUCGGCAGGCAUUCCACUCACUGUACAUCUCUCCAGGUGGGUCGAGGUGUGUACAAUAUGAAGGUCUAGGCACUGUGGGAUCACUGGCCUCCGACGCAUCUUUGCAUGCCUUCUUCUCUGCAGAGUCCCUCUGGGGAACCGCUGGAGAUAGGUAAGCAAGCAAUGUCGAUGGACAGGGUGACUUUGUGGGGCUUUGACUUGGCCAAUUCUUCGCCCAGAAUUGGUUGCAGAUGUAGUCAAAAGCCAGGGGGAACUGUAUCUCAUGCAGGUCAGUCAUUUUAAUUUCUAGGCUUCAACCCUUUGAGUCACCAGUUGGCUCGUUAAUGUCGUCAGGCUCACAACUAAGAUUAAUAGAAAAAGUGCAGUUAGUGGAGCGCUGAUUGAGAAUAGAAAUAGAUGAAAAUAGGGUGCAAAAAUAGGGAACCUAACAACCUAUACUUAACUAAAUAAUUAAACUAAACUAAAUAAUUAAACUAAACUAUUAUACUGAACUAAAAAAAAAAAAAAACAUUCUCUUCUAAUAGAUAAUAAGCCAAUGACUCAAAUACAAAACCACACUCAAGUAAGAUUACAAAACGUCAAUAUAUCAAAAAUGUAGAAAGAUUUAAUAAAAGUUAACACAGCUAAGAUUCACCCGUGGGGAUCGGGAUAUCCCCCACUGGUUAAGUGGGGGGGAGGGGGGCAGGCUCUUUGUUAGCUAGCUCCAAAUCAGGGACGAGGACGAGGAUCGGCCACCUCUCCGCCCCUGACUGGAACUGCAGGCCACAGUAAAAUGGCUGUAGCCACCGGCCGUAGGCAAAAAGAACUCGAUUGAACAGCUGUGUGCUCCCCGGUAUUAUAAACAGGAAUGCCGCCAGAAAAGAGAGCAAUAUAGCCCAAUUUAAGUAUUUAUAAAAUAUUUACUGGAGCAGUAAACCGCAGUGACCUCAAGCAGCCAACUGUCACGGUGCUGCGGGUUUCUGUCGGCAUGGCCGCACUGAAAAACAGCGGUCUGUCACAUGUUCAUCCUCGCCUUGCGACAUUGAUGGUGGUUUCCUUGCCAAUAAAAGUGGUGGUGCCGUUCAGCGGCCAUGCGUCAAAGUGUCUGACCCCUGCAGCAUGUUGAUGGCUGAGGCGGAUCCACACUAAUUUAUAACCUUACGUCCGUCCACAGCAUGGAAGACCUUGACGUGCGUGUGACGUCAGGUAAAGGAGACACACGCACGUUCUGGGGUCAAAGGCCGGUUUCGGCCGAUCGGAUCUACAAGAGGGGUAUUUAAGUUACCUAUUCCUUCUGCUCAUUGCCCUGUUGUGGCUUCCCUAGUGGUUGUUCGAGAGUGUUUUCCUGAGCAUUUAUUUCUGGUAUUUGACUUUGGCUUUGUUUGACUUCCCUAAAUUCUGGUAUCCCUGACCUUUGGCUUUCCCUCAUCAUUGUGUCUCUUUUUGUAUCCUUGACCUCAGCAAGUAUUCUACUGUUCUCUGGUAUGUUAAGUCCGGCCAUUCUAAGGCCCAGUAAGAUGUUACCUUUUAAGUUCUGCGUGCGGGAUCAAUUAGUAAUCCUGACACGGUCAUGCCAACAGAAAUAACAAACACUUAUCUUACCUGCGGCAGAUCAAAACCCGACCUCCUUCCAUCCCAGUCCCCAGCGUGACGCUAGCCACUGCAGUUCUGUUUUUAAUAAAGAAAUAGCCUUUGCCAAAUUCAAAGAUGGUGCCUACUUGCGUGUGACGUCACGUCAUAGACGUGCACGCACGUUUUGGGGUCAGAGCUCACAUACAGCCAAUUACAGCUUUAAGAGGGUUGUUUAAACCCAAAUUGCCUUUUGAUCAGUGCCCUGUCGUGGUUUCCCUUAGCUGGUUAUCCAAGAGAGUGUUCUUGAUCGUAGUAUUUCUGGUAUUUGACUUUGGCUUUGUUUGACUUCCCUGAUUUUUGGUAUCCUUGACUUUUGGCUUUCCCUCAUCGUUGUGUCUCAUUCUGUAUCCCAGUAAGACGUUAAGUAUUAAGUCCGGCCAUUCUAAAGUCCGGUUAUACGUUAUCCUUAGUCCUAGGGGUGAUACUAUUUCUGCAUGCUGGAUCAAUAGUAAACCUGACACCAACAAAAAGUUAGAUAGGGACCCUAGAAACAUGAUUUGGACAAGGAGUUAGAUAAGGACCCUAGAAACAUGAAUUUGGUUGACCACAUUAAUCAUCCCCAUGUAAAGAGAGAAAGAGGGGAGGCAAACUGGUAAACUGCCUAGUAACCAUUGGAUCCUAAUCCUUCUUUGACUAAGAUGAGAGUUCUGCCUUUGCCCUAUUGUGAGCAAUUCAGCAGCAAAACCUUUACAAAAAGGAAUCUGUGCAACAACCACACAUUACAGAACACCUCUGAGUGUUGCUGGAAUCUCUGUGAUGUGCUUUGUACUUCCUUCACAAACAAAACAUAAAAAAUUAAACAGCUUGAACAUGGAAUAUGAGAGGAUAUAAAGGUUGGCACUAUUGCAGAUAGGGAUUACGAGCUAUGCAUAUUCGACAUGACAGGAUUUUUUAUUUAGAGGGAUCUUUACAGUCAGAUGUUUCUUAAAUUCUUUCCAUCAGUUUGUAGAUCAUCCAUGUUUACAAUAAUACAGUGCCUUCUUUUGCAUUUAUUUUUUUUUAAGCAGGAAGGAUAGGAAGUAGACUAUGAUUGCAAUGACAUAAUCGCCACUUCCUUCCCUUAAUUAUUUUCUUCCUCAAAAUGUGUAACAAACACUUUCAGAAAAUGUUAACAUUCAUUGAAUGUGAUUAAAAAAUAAACAAUGAACAAGAUGUGUCCUACAGACAUCACAUGGACUUCUUGUAGGUAAAGAGGACAUGAAAUGUUUUCUGUUGAGUUUGAAGGUGUAGGGCAUACCACAUGGGUAUUGUUAAUGACAAUAACUCUAGGAAUUUUACAAACACAUGAAGCACUUCAACUGAAGUACUUUAUGUGUGAACAGUGAACCAUUUCUAUUUUAAGAAAGUUCUGAUUGCAAUAGAAAGUGCCUUUCUAUAACUGUACCCAAGUACACCUUCCCAGCUAUCAAUCAGAUAGCUAGGGCGAUUUUCUUUCUUCCUCCCUGGAGCUAGGUGCAAGUUGUAGGUGCCUGUCAAUAACACAUCUGCCUUAAGGUCCCCGGAAACACUCUGAUGCUGUUGUAGGCAGGUGCACUGCUCCUCAACCCUCUGCUUGAGGCACACCUAACAGUCCAGAAUUUAGAGAUUACCAGUGUGUGUCUAAGGUGUUUAGAAAAAGAAGAAGAAAAACACUUUAGAGUCUGAGUUGUUUUUGUUUUUAACACUUUAGACAUUCCCAGGUAAUCUCUAGAUCCUGGACUGUUAGGUGUGCCUUGAAGAGAGGGUUGAGGAGUACUGGGCAGGUGGGCAGUCACAAUAGGAGAACUGUACACAAUAAAAUGCAACUCUCUGAACAUGCACACACACAUGCAGUGGCCCUUGCCCUGCAAAGACUUCUCAAUGAGCUGAAGUAGUCUGUGGUUGGACAGCCAUGUGCAAGCCCAGCUGGUUCACACGAUUUCUCAAUGAAAAGCUUCUGAUUGGUCAUUCCACUCCACACACAAGAAAGUCUGUUCCCAGUGAUUGGGAGGGCUUGCAGGUGCUGCAUAUAUUAGAUCUACAGCUAUUGCAAGCUACAAUUGCAUUAUACCCAAAGAAAAUAAGCAAAAAGAAUUACAUAUGUGGUUUUCUUUGGGAGUAGGUCUAUGAAAUUGCCAAAAAAAAACAACUUUUGUAUGAAUGUGAAGCUACUGAUUGGCUUAGACCACCAGCUGACCACUCAAAGCCAAUCAUUGGCACCUCAACCUGCAGGCAUUCCGUGCUUCCUCAUACUGAAUUGAAGAAACUGGAUCCUGCUGAGGUCAAGGAGAUCUGGUGCUGGAGUUUGGGGUUAAUGGAAUGGUUUAAUUUGUUAAGGUAAGAAAGUGUCAUGGACCUCUGGGCAUCAUGGGAACUUAAAGGGACACUAUAGUCACCUGAACAACUUCAGCUUAAUGAGGUUGUUCAGGUGAGUGCUACAGCUCCUUGCAGCCUUUUUCUUGUAAGCACUGUAUUUUCUGAGAAAAUAGUGUUUACAUUGGAAGCUUGGAACACCUCUUGUUGCAGUCAAUCAGACGGCCACCAGAGGGACUUCCGAGUUCAGAAGCCCUAAAAAGGCUUCAUUCACGUCUGACGUAUUCACGCACGGGUGAAUACUUCAGACGUGCUAUCAGCACACAAAGCACUGUGAACGCGCUUUGUGUGCUGAGGCUGUCAGCACUGCGUGGCAGUGGCUUGAGCUGACAGGCUGAAGACCGAAGAGGAGAAGAGGAGGAUUCAAACUGUAAGUACACUUAUUUAGUGAGUGUGGGUGGGUGACUGGGUGAGGAUGGAUGAUGGGGAUAAAUGGAUAUGGAUGAUGGGGAUGGAUGGAUAUGGAUGAUGGGGAUGGAUGGAUAUGGAUGAUGGGAGUGAGUGGAUGGAUAUGGAUGAUGGGAGUGAGUGGAUGGAUAUGGAUGGUGGGAGCGGGUGGAUGGAUAUGGAUGAUGGGAGUGGAUGGAUGGAUAUGGAUGAUGGGAGUGGAUGGAUUUGGGGAUGGAUAUGGAUGAUGGCAGUAGAUGGAUAUGGAUGAUGGAGAUGGAUAUGGAUGAUGGAGAUGGGUAUGGAUGAUGGAGAUGGGUAUGGAUGAUGGGGAUGGAUAUGGAUGAUGGAGAUGGAUAUGGAUGAUGGGGAUGUAUGAUAUGGAUGAUGGGAAUGGAUAUGGAUUGAUGGAUGAUGGGGAUGGAUAUGGAUGAUGGGAAUGGAUAUGGAUGAUAUGGAUGGAUGAUGUGGAUGGAUAUGGAUGAUGGGAAUGGAUGGAUAUGGAUGAUGGGGAUGGAUAUGGAUGAUGGGGAUGUAUGAUAUGGAUGAUGGGAAUGGAUAUGGAUUGAUGGAUGAUGGGGAUGGAUAUGGAUGAUGGGAAUGGAUUGAUAUGGAUGGAUGAUGUGGAUGGAUAUGGAUGAUGGGAAUGGAUGGAUAUGGAUGAUGGGGAUGGAUAUGGACGGAGAAAGUGUGUGUGUAUGUCUAAUUUUUUACUACUUGUGUGUUUGCAUAGAAACACUAUAUAUAGAGAGAUCUCUAUAUAUAGUGUUUCUAUGCAAACACAGUUUGGCUGAGGAGGGGGCGGGGAUAGAAAGCGAGCUGAGCUGUCAGUCAGACAGCACAGCUCGCGAACGCGCAUUCUGCGCACAUGCGCGGUUGAGCGCUGAGUUUCUUCAUAGGACGGCAUUCAAUGCCGGUCUAUGAAGAAUGCGAUUGGUGCAGCGCGAAACCGCGCAUGUGCACCACAUCGUGAUGACGCUUCUUUUUGGCAAAAAAGGGGGCGUGGCCUAGCGGGGAGUUCGGCGCUGGAACGGAGGUAAGUUUUAUUAUUAAAACUUACUCGGAUUUAUUUAUUUUUUAUGGUAAGUUCAUAUAAAAGCAAGAAAGAAGGCUGGGGGACCUGUCUUUCUUGCUUUUUUAUGUUGACUAUAAAGUCCCUUUAAUUCUGAUGAAGAUUUUAUGGUGCCCAUACAGUUUCUUUAAAUAGAUACCUGCCCAUGAACAUAAUGGAAUGAUAAAACAAGUAUCUCCUGUAGAUUAGUGCACUAAGGAAAAAAAUGAACAAUAUUGUACUACUUUGGCAAGUACUUUUUUUGGGAUUAGAUCAUUUUCCAGAUGCCGUGGGGACGUGUUGAGUGCCUUGGUGUUAAGUACUAAAGAGUGUAUUAAUUUUUCCAGAAUUCCUAAAGGAUUGAAUUCUGUAAUAUGAAACAUAUAUCCAGCAAUUAAGUCUACAACUGCAUCCUCUCCCUCUUUCAAGAUUUAGCACCAAGCAUGCUCCAUAGACGACGAGAAUGGAGGCCACUAGCAGACCUAGUACGCCAACAUGAGAUCUGCUUCACCUGGGGGCACCCCUUAAAAAUUGUAGCCUUCCAAACUGGAAGAACAGGAAAUGAGAUACCACCUUGCUGACUAAGCCACAGAAAGGCCGGUGUGCGUGCCCCUAGCUCAAGAUUUUCCUGGGAGGAACUUAUGGGGAGAGCCCGGUCACUAGAGACUAGACUCCACUCAGCUGCCUACAAGGAGUCCCUCAGAGGUACGCACUCUAGGUGCUCCCGGCCGAUAACAACCCCUCACCCAACCCCAGCCUGCCAACCAAGUCCGGACGCACAGUCCCAUCCCCCACGGCCCUGGACAGACACCAAGACACUUACACCUGCAAAAACUAAAACAAGAUACAAAAAACAAAAGAGAAAAAAAAAACAUAAAGUUAAUAUAAUUUAAAAAAAACAAAGAGAAAAUGAAAACAUAACUAAAUAAAAUGUUCAUACAACUCAGAUAAGAAAGGAACAUACUAUUAUAAUCCAACCUGUGAAUCACCUAUAAACCCACGAUAGAUAUCAGGGUACCUUGGCAGGGCUACCCACAGGCCACUUUAUCCAAAAUCACGAACCCAGGGUGCUAAGAGAUUCCCCCAAAGUACUAAGGGGGACGGGAAGUAUUCCAAGUACUUACACCUCUGAUCAUCUGGGCUGUAACGCCCGCCAGGUCGGCCAUGACCCACCUGGGACUACCUGCACCUCCAGCACAUACAUAAUGGGGCAACAAAAGGUUGGGACCACAGGGACAAGGCGGGAUAUGCCUCAACCCCACCCAGGGACUUAUAGGGGAAGACUGGAAAAACUCAGGUGGAGGAGAGAGAUACAGAAACUGGACGGGGUUGGCCAAGAGACCAAAUUGCCCAUUCAUGAUGGCCCAGGGAAACUGCUAUGUACCAGUUGCAUAGUGUAUUAUAGUGGAAAUGCGUGGGGAGUCACCAACCCUGAGAGGUGAACAUAUUCCUGCCACUCACGGGGGUGCACACCCCUACCCUAAUCUGGCACAGGGUAAGACCAGAUUGUUAUACUUCUGUUUAUGUUUAUGGUUAAUGUAUCUAACUUCUCAACUUAUCUCUUUCUUGCUUUUGCGUAUCAUAUGUAUUGAUCUCCAAUCCCAGUUCUCUGCUUGGAUGCCGCCCGCGUCGUUAAGGAGGGGGUGGACUUGCCCCGCCCUGGACCUCACCCACGAUACAACCCAAUAUAUCUUUAAGGAGGCACGUGAACCAGACACUUACGCCACGACAGCGACACUACACACAUCACCUAAUGGCUCUUAAGGUACUGUCACUUAAUGUCAAAGGACUAAACUCUCCAAAGGUUGCUCGCAGGGGAGGGCUGGCAGCCUUAGGACUGGGGGGCAAAACCAGUCAAGUGGCCCAUUGCCCAACCAAAUCCGUUAACCAUCCAUGCCCACCCUUUCCUGGUUUUAUAACGGAUAUUGAUGUUUUGCUAAUCAGUAGCUCUUUGCCAUACCCGCUCCUUCACGGCUCUCAAUGUUGUCAGAGCGCAGGCUGAGAAUCUCUGAGCAUGUGCUCUGACUCACUAACUGAGCGCCAGAACCACGAGGGAGAUGCACCUACUGCUGGUGUGCACCAGUGGACCACCAGCGAAUCGUUUAAAUUGAAUAUGCUGGUGUCCCCAACUUGUGAGCUGUGUUGGCCGCCAGGCGCCUCUGUUGUCAUGGCACCCUGCGUGACCGCACAGCUGGCACACCCCAACUGCUGGCCCUGCUGACACACACUAACGUUACUACUUAGACAUCCCUCAAUAUUAAUACAGACAUCUGAGAAAACACCAAUAAACUGUGGAAACAGAGCUGAUCCCCCCCAAAUUUAUAAAGAUUUGCUUAGUGGAUUUGUUGUAAGAUUAAAUCAUGCCUCCUCCUCUCUCUCUCCCAUGCGCUGCUCUAUAGGCUGGGAGGAAGUGAAGAGUAAUCACAUUCUCCCAGCAGAGCGCCACCGGUGGCUGCAUGGGGAACAGCUGUUUAAUCUAAUGCUUGCAGGACGGCCAGCUGCCACAGAACCUCUUUGUUCCCGUCUCUGCAAAGGGCUCCAGGCACUGCUUGCUGUGAGUGUGAGUCACUGUAAAUUAGGGGCAGAGGGCACUUGCACUGCGGUAAAGACGGGUCUGGGCAGGAGGAGAGUGCAGUGCAAUCAGUGCACUCCCCUCCUGUGGGUCACCAGUAGACUGGUGCACCUGCCCAGGAUCAGAGCUGGUGCAAGGAUUUUUGCCGCCCUAGACAAAAUAAAAAUUUGCCGUCCCCCAUGUGACAUCACAAUGCCGGACCCAUAUGAUCUUCCAUAUGAACUAACGCCAGUGCUGCACACAGUGUGUGUUUACAUUAAAAGGGACCGGCUAUAGACACCAGAACCACUUCAUUAAGCUAUAGUGUCCCUUUAAUGUGAGGUAAAUUAUAGAUUAGUGUCACUAAUAAUAUACUAGAUUGCCUACUUACAACCAGAUGAGGAUGAUGAUGGGCUGCAGUUUGGUUCCACUGGUCUGGUGUAGAACUGGAUCUCUGGAGGCUGUUUGCAACUGUGGUCACAACAUUCAAUGUUCUGGGAGAAUUGGAAGCAGCUCCAUUUUUUGGGGGCCCCUUACACAGCUCAAGGUCUGGGCCCCAGGGCCUGACGGUGAGUAUGCCCAUAAGUCCCACUCAUAAGUCGACUUAUAUAUUCCACCCACCCAUGAGUUCGCUCACAGGGAGUGGCAUGUGUAGGGGAUGUGUUAUGUGUCAUUGUAGAGGAUCUAAUAUGUGUGCUUAUGGUAUGUAGUGUAUAGGGAUACCAGUUUGUGUAGGUGAUGCAGUGUGUUUGUGUGCAGUAGAAGCAGUGUGUAUUUGUGUAUAAGGGACGUAUUGUGUUUCUGGUUGUGUGUAAGGGAUGCAUUGUUUGAAUCUGUGUUUGUAUGCAUAAGGGAUGCAAGGUGUGUGUCUGUAUGUGUGUGCAUUGAGUGUAAGAGAUGCAUUGUGUUUCUGUGUGUAUGUAAGAAAAGCAGUGUGUGUAAGGGUUUGCAUUGUGUGUUUCUGUGUAUGUGUGCAAAGGAUGCAUUGUCUUUGUGUGUAAGGGUUGCAUUGUGUGUGUAUAAUGGAUGCAUUGUGUGUUUCUCUGUGUGUAAGGGAAGCAUGUUGUGUUUCUAUGUGUGUAGGGAUGCAUUGUGUGUUUUUUGUGUAUGUAUAGGGAUGCAUUGUGUGUGUUUGUGUGUGCGCGUAGUGUGAAAGAGCUCCAUGUCUUGCCCCCUGUCCUAUAGAGCUGUCCCUUCUGUCCCUUAGAGCUCUCCCCUGCCCCUUUGUGGUCUCUCCUCUCCCUCACCCCAUCCUAGCCAUCUCUUCUCACACUCACCCACCGUCCCUGUGCUCUUCUCAUCCCCCCCUCCACUCUCCCUGUGUUCUCUUCACCCCCCCUCCUCCCUGUGUUCUUCUUACUUUCCCCCCUUGUUCUUCUUACUCCCCCCUUGUUCUUCUUACUCCCCCUCUUCUUCUUCUUACUACCCCUCUUCUUGCCUUCUUCUUACUCCCCUCUUCUUACUUCCCCUUCUUCUUCUUACUCCCCUUCUUCUUCUUACUUAUUCUUCUUCUUCCCUCUUCUUCUUACUCCCUUCUUCUUCUUACUCUACUCCCCCCUUCUUCUUCUUCUUCUUACUCUUCUUCUUCUCCCCCUUCUUCUUCUUACUCCCCUUCUUCUUCUUCCUUACUCCCUCCUUCUUCUUCUUACUCCCUCUUCUUCUUACUUCCCUCUUCUUCUUACUCCCCCUUUCUUCUUCUUCUUACUCCCCCCUUCUUCUUCUCCUCCCCCUUCUUUUCUCACUCCCCCCUUCUUCCCUUCUUACUUCCCCUUCUUCUUCUUUUUACUCCCUCUACUCUCUCCUUCUCUUCUUCUUACCCCUUUAUCUCCUCCUUCUUACUUCCCCUUUUUGCUCUCACCCUCUUUUUCUUCUCCCUCUUCUUGCUUCUUAUUCUCCCCCUCUUUACUUCCCCUUCUGCCCCCCCUGUUCUUCUUCUUACUCUCUCUUCUUCUUUUCUACCUCUUUUAUUACUCCCCUUCUUCUUCUACCCCUUUUUUCUUACCUCUUCUUCUUCUUACCCCCCCUCUUUUCUUAUCUCCCCUCUUCUUCUUCUUACUCCCCUUUUCUUACUCCCCUUCCUAAUACCCCUGCCCUCUUCUUACUCUCCCCUCUUUUUACUUCCCCUCUUUAAUCUUCCCCUCUUCUCUCUCCGCCUCCCAAGGUGCUCCCUACUAUGGUCCAAGAGCCUAUUCUAUUAGGAGCAAACAAAACAGACACCUUCCUGGCUAGAGUAUUACGAUCGAGAAUGGGACGCAACACCAUAACAAAACUGAAACAAAUACUAUAGCCACGACACCAGACGCUAUUAAUGAAGUAUUCACCACAUAUUUCUUGGACCUAUACAAUCAUUCCCCACACCUCACGACCAGUGGUGUAUCCUGGUUUUGUGCUGCCCUAGGCAGGACAAAACUCAGGCACCCUCUCCCCCCGCGCCACCCCCACCCAACCUUUUCCCCCCCGCCCCACCUUCUAAAUACACACACACACAAACAGUCAGAUACAAACACACACACAGUCAGACACACACACACACAGUCAGACACAAACACACACACACAGUCAGACACAAAACACACAGUCAGACACACACACAAACACACACAGUCAGACACACACACACACACAGUCAGACACACACACACAGAGUCAGACACACACACACAGUCAGACACACACACACACAGUCACACACACACACACAGUCACACACACAAUCACUCACACAUAACACUUUUUUUUUUUAAUUUAAUCCCCCCCCCAGCCUCCUUAACCUUUGGGAAUGCUGGGGCAGGGAUUUCUCUCUUUCUCCCUGGUGGUCCAGUGGCUGCCGGUCGGGCUGAUGGGCUGGCUGCUGGGCGGGCGGCUGGCGAGGGAGCUCUUCCUCUGAGCUGACUGCUCAGCUCCCUCGCGCACCGCAGAGUGAGCUGAGCAGUCAGCUCAGAGGAAGAGCUCCCUCGCCAGCCGCCCGCCUGACCAUCAACCAGUGCCGCCAGCAUGUCUGUUAGCCACGAGGCUAACUAGGCAUUUGCCCUGGGCAUUUGGGGGCGGCGUUUUUUGCCGCCCCUGAAAAAAGCUGCCCAAGGCAAAUGCCUUGUUUGCCUCGCGGCUAGUACGUCCCUGCUCACGACCAACAACACAAUCUAUAUCGACGACAUACAAAGGUUCCUAUCGGGACUGACCAUUCCAAAAGUGAAUAGAGAAGAGGCAGCAUCGCUGCGGGACCCGAUUACACAAUCUGAAGUGGAAACGGCUAUAGCAUCUCUCAAGGGUAACAAAGCCCCAGGGUCAGACGGUUAUGACAUCAGUUACUACAAGCAAUUUAGAGACGUGUUAGCUCCUGACCCUCAGUAAUCACUUUAUGCAGGGAAGGAAGCCUGAUGCAGACAUGGCUAUGGCAAACGUAAUACUCCUACCAAAACCGGACAAGGACGACACAUUAGUUACAGGGCAAUAUCACUCAUUAACACUGACCUUAAAAUCUUCGACAAAAUACUAGCCUCCAGACUCACACCCUCCCUUCCAAGCCUGAUCCACCCUGACCAGGUUGGCUUCAUACCCGGACGACAACUAUAUGAAAACACCAGACGGGGGGUAGACAUUUUAUGGUACAUGGUGAAGUCCAAGAUGCCUUCUCUGGCAUUCUCUUUAGAUGCAGAGAAGGCGUUCGAGAUGGUACUGGGGCCUUACCUGUUCAACUUACUCCAUUUCCAGGGGUUCCCUGAGCCUUUUGUGACAGCAAUACGGGUGCUACAUACGGACAUACAUGCACAGACGCUCAUAACAGGAGCAAAGAGAACAACGGAACCAGACAGGGGUGUCCCUUGUCCCCCUUACUAUUUGCCCUGACACUGGAACCACUCCUAUAAGUUAUAAGGCAGCACCCGCACAUCCAGUGAGUGGAGGUCCUGGACAAACAUUUACAGUGUCCGCCUAUGCGGACGAUGUCCUUUUAACUCUCAGAAACCCAUUGGACUCCCUACACCACUUAACGCUCCUACUGCAGCGGUUUGGGUGUUUAGCGGGCUACAAGGUAAACUUUACCAAAUCUAUGGCAAUGCCCUUUUAUUAAGCAGAUCCGGACAUGUCACUAAUACGCAGCCGACAUCAUUUAAGGGUAAAUCCAGAGGAAUUCAUGUAUCUGGGCAUCCAUCUGACAGCGAACCCCUCAUCACUCUUCACCCGUUACUACACGCCCCUGACCCAAACCCUUACUAAAGAGUUAGACCAAUGGGCGGACAGACCUAUUUCUUGGUUGGGAUGCAUACACGCCAUUAAAAUGAACAUACUACCAAUGCGCUUAUUCCUGUUUCAAGCACUCCCAGUGAGAGUUACCCAGAGGAGACCUAACAGGCGUACAAAGAGCGAUUGAUUCCUUCAUUUGGCACAACAAGCACCUGAGGCUAGCACGCACUCUCCUUUACCGGCCCAAACCGAGGGGGGAUUAGGUCUGCCUAAUAUAAUUAUUAUUUAGCAGUACAAUUAACCCAGAUUAUGCAAUGGCACACACCCCUGGACAGGAGGCUCUGGGUUGAUCUUGAGUCCCUGUUGACAGGGAUGGAUCUUCCGCAGUUCUUCAUAUGGGUACCCAGGACCCAGAGAGCUAUCCUAAGAACCGCCAACCCAGUCAUCCUUAACUCCAUGCAAAUAUGGGACCAAACUAAAAAGAAAUACUCCCUAAGCACCUCCUUAUCCCCCAUGACACCUGUACUCAGGAACAGAGCGUUCCCGCUGGGGCUGAGGGCCCGGGACUAUGGCGGGAUAGAGGCCAUGGGGCUACAGAGAUAUGUCCACCUAUAUGUCGAUCAAGACAUAGUUACGUGUGCACAUCUGAACACUGAGCAACUCUCAGAACGCGAGACUACGUUAGAUACUUACAAAUCCGAGACUUCGCACAAAGAGCUGAAGUCAAGGAAGCAGCCACGACACGCUACUAUACAAUCACCUUAGUACUGACAAAGGGCGCACUACGAUACACUGACCAACGGGAGGCUGACCUGAGGGAGGUAUGGGAGGGAACAGAGAGGCAAGACAUUUGGGAAGCCUGCACCAAAAUAUGUGUAACGCUCCAGGAGAAACCAUACAAAACAUUAUUUAGAUGGUACACAACGCCAGUCAAACAAAAACAUAUGAAACUGACAGGGGUUGUGUACCAUCUAAUAGGUGUCAGACGACUGCUGACACCUAUGCGGUGGGAGGGGCACUUAUAUACACAUGUGGUGGGAGUGCCCGCAAGUGAUGAGAUACUGGCACAAAAUAGUAGAUUUAAGCUCACAGAUCCUACAGAGGAAAAUGGCCCCAGACCCGUGGGCAUACCUGUUAUCACGUCCCACAGAGGGCCUCACCAAACACGAACAAAAGCUCCUCAAUAUGAUUAAUCUAGCAGCCCAUAGAGCAUUGGCACAGAAGUGGUCAUGCCCAGAUCUCCCCCAAGUAUCCCUGGUUAAAGCAAAUCUGAAAGAUAAUUUCCUGAUGGACAAACUCACCGCCCAACUCAGGAACACGAUGACUACUUUCAAUAGGGUAUGGGAUCUUUGGGAACAAUACAAUACAUAGGGGACUCGUGAGGCGGCAUCCACACUAGCAACUAGGAACAGCUGGGAUACAAUCACACUGACAUAGACACACCAGAAGCCCGAUGUGCGGCAGCGGCACGAAUAACGGAAGGAUAUCUGGCCAACGCUAAGACUCAGGACACAGGCCACUAAGACUCACAGGAAAGAUCGAUACGAUCCUGGACUUGGCCAACUAAGAGAUCACAUAUCUCUCUUCUUUAUUGUUUCUUUUUCCGAUGUUCUAUCCUUUUUACUAUGCUUUCUUCUCACAAGUACUCUAGACUUGUAUUCCGGCAAGAGGAGGGGAGUGGCAGAAAUCCAGCUAAUAUAUACAAAUGGCUACAACUAACUGUCAUAAGCUGGUAAAAUCUCCAUAGAAUGACUGAUGUAAUCAUUACCUAAUGAAGGAAUGUACCAUAACCAAUACAUGUAAUACGUGUAAUAAAUGUCUUCAAGUGGGAAUGUAACUAGUCAACGCAGCCAGCUCCUCGAAGUACUGCCACUGUAUAUAGUUAAUGUAGAUUGGAAAAACAAGAAAAACCCUGAUGAAAUUGCAAACAACUGUUGGCCAUUGUAUGUAAGAUGACUACUGUACUAACUACACAACUUUCCUUUCUGCAAGAUACCACAACUCUGUCAUGGCUUUUGCGUAAGCCUGUCUUGUCAUACUAUUGCAUGUUUAUCAGUGCAAAAAUAAAGAAUUUAAAAAAAAAGAAGAUUAAACAAAACACAACAUUUUCUCUUCGUGUAUACAUAGUUUGUGAUGCCGUUAGCACAUCAUAUGCUUAAAAGGAGGGAGCACUGCCCUCUGCCGUAACUCAAGGAUACUGCAAGGGCCAUACUUCCCUGCAGAAUUGUUUGAUAGAUGGCUUAUGGAUAAGUGCAAAUCUAACUCAUUUAAUAUGCCACAUGUAUACACAUACCUGUAAUUAAUGAGAAAAAGGAAACAUUUAGCUGACAAGUCAAAGGGGAUAUUCAUUCAGUCCAUGGCUAAUGACCUAAAGAAGUCUAUCAAGAUGCUUGCUUGAUAAUUUAGUGCAGAUGUGGGUUUCAAAGAUCCAUGUUUUUAUGAUUGGACUAUCUGACUACAUAAUACGUCAGCCAGAAUUAAAAAUUAAAAGGUCAGGUGGGGUCACAGGUCAUGUGACUUACAGGUAAUCAACCACAAGAAAAUACAAGGUGUUAUAAAGCAGUGAGAAUUAUGACAUUGUAUGUGUACAGUAACAAAAAUUGGUAAACUUUAAAAUAAAAUAUAUUUUAAAAAAAGAAUGAAAGAAUUAGAAAAAAAAAAGUGGAAAUGUGUCCCUAAAGGGACACAAAGAUGGUCACCGCAGCGGGACCAUAAGGUACACCAGUAUGGCCGCCCUGGGCCAAAAGACCAUGGUCGGCAUGACUGGAAUAUUAAAUACUGUGUCCCUUGUCUGUUGGUGCGGAAUUCACAGCAGUAACAAUAGCCUAACCCAUCCCUUGUGCUAUAGUGUGGACCUCUCUAAAAGUAGAAGGUUUUUGAAUCAAGUCAGCAUUUUGUUUAAGCUGCUUUGAGGAGAGCUUUUGAUCCACUGGGAAGAAAAACCAAUGCUGCCAGGACUCUCCUAAACUUAAACAGGGUAACCACUCUCUCAUGGAUUAUGCCCUCCUAGAAUUUCAUUUUCUAGUGUCAGAGAUAGAGUGGAACAACCGUGCAUUUGUGGACAUGUUCCUUACCAAUUUACCCAAUACCCUCUUAGAUGAGGUAGCAGCUAGGUACCUACCAGAGACAUUGGAGGAGCUCAUCGUGUAUCUUGCUUACAUAGAUGAGACUUAGACAUAGAAUACCAGAGAGAGGCCUAAAAGACUGGCUAUCAGAUUAGCUCCUACCUUUUCCUCAGAGAGGGAUUGUGUAUGUAUUGUGGCAAGAGGAGACUUCUCCGUUUUUCCUGUCCUGAAAGGCCAGAAAAUCCCAGAGCCUAAGGUCCCAUGGAGGACAGGACUUGGGUGUUCUUAAUGAGUCCUCCGUGUUUGUCAAUCCAGAAAAAGUGAAGUGAGUUCCACAGGAGCAGUGCAGCCCUCGAGAAGUAUUUAAGGAGAGCAUCAGAGGUGGGAGUACGGACAGAAGAUAGAUGUAAGUCUUCAGCAGAGCAUAAGGGCCUAGACGGGACAUACUUGUGUAUUGGGGAGGAUAGAUAGGUGGGAGCAGCAUUAUGUAGAGAUUUGAAAGCAAGAACCAGAAUCUUAAAUUGAGCCCUACAUCUUACAGGAAGCCAAUGUAGGGACUUACAGAAGGGCGCAAGUUGGGAGCACGUAAGACCACUGAGAAUCGGAUUACAGUAGUCAAGGUGAGAAACGACAGUGGAAUGGACCAGCACUUUAGUCGCAUCUGGUGUUAAGUAGGGUACCAGUAGGGUAAAGCAGUGUUAUGGCCUUUUCCCCCAUACAUUAGUCGAGACUUAAUGCUGGGAGAAGAAUUGGAUUUAUUAAGCUCAGCAUGGUCAUUUAUACAUGGACCCCCAGCAUGAAAUCCCUAUUCACAGAACAAAUGAUCCCGCCCUGGUGCCUCUGUGUCUGGAAGAUAAUUGAGUUGCUACUCGCUAAACUAAUUAUCUCCUGGAUACAGAGAGCACAACACAAAAACACCCCAAAUACAUAAUAAAACAUACAGGAACCCUCACACAUUAUAUAUCGUCGGAUAGCUCUGAUCCGAGCGCCCAUGUUGGCCAAACAGUGAUGACUAAACGCCACCGGGGUAAAGUUUUGAACGACCGCACAUGUGGUCCGUGCCCAAAAGAGUUCCAUAACAAUUCAGGCUUUGGCUGGUCAAAUGUCAGGAGCUCCUGCGGACGAAGCAAGGUGCACUCCCCCCGGCUCCCGGGGAACGAUUGUAGUCUAUAGUCUGAGGCACCUUACUUCCGAAAAGCGCUCUCGUGGUUGCAAGGGAAGUGUGGUAAAACCGGGUUGGAAGUUAAUUGAGGUUAGCUGCAGUUGGACCGGUGUUUCAGAAGAGUUGUGCAUAAGUCCUGCUGAAGUCUUUGUGGCUUCUGAAUUCUGGUUGUAGUUCGAGGAAAGAAUGGUUUCAGUGAGUUGGCCUGGAGGGGAAGGUGCUAUGAGCCAUGUGUAGUGACAAUAGUCUUUUUUUGACAAUGUGGGAAAUAAAACACGUGGCAAGCAUGAAGGUGUUGUUUCUGGUGUGGCCACAUUGACUGGGUAUUCAGUCACAGUCUUGUUGGCUUUUCCAAUUAUGAUUCUUCCAAGAACCCAGUGGACAAAACACUACACUUGAUCUUAGCUAAAAGUUGAGAAGCAUUGAGACAGUUUUGAUUACUCCUGUUUUUGCUGUCAAUAUGCUUGCAAAGAGUAACAAACAGAUGACGCUGUGUAUUAUGCUUAGUAGACAGCAGCUAGUUAUGCCAUCAAUUUGCUAUGAAGAUAGAUAGCUCUACGUGGGAUAUUAAUCAUUUGCAGUUAGGCAGUCAUGAGGCUAUACUUGUGCUACAUAGUUUUGAGUAACCCAAAAGAUGGGACCAUCUAACAAGCAGUGAUAUUAACAUUUGUUUUUAUUCGCAUUAACCUCUAUUUUCCAAUAUUUUUUAAAACAUUACACUAAGAUAGCCUAUUUAAAAAUAAUCUUAUCAUUAUUAUAACAUUGAUUUAGCUUUAAUAAAGUCUGCAGUCUUACAACUAUACAAUUAGAAUACAUAAAAGCAAGUAACUCAGACAAAGUUGACCGUAACAAGAGGUGAAGAGGGCCUUGCUCAAACAAGUAUACAAACUUGUAUUAAUCACAGAUUCAAAACUAUCAAGCCCCAAUACUGCUGUAAGAAAGUCAGUGCUCCAUCAGCUGAUCAUCUGCAAUAAGCAAAGGUAGCCUUCUGGAAGACCACACUAAGACUCUAUCCUGCACAGCAUCAUUUAUAUUUAAUUUAACCACCAUGUACAUUUAUUUUAUUUUAUAUAUCCUGUGUGCAUUGUAUAUGUUCUUGCCUUUAUAUCUUGUCUGUCAUGCUAAAGUGUAGUUUUGCUAACCCUGUAUGUAAUUGUUUUAUUCACCUAUAUGCAUUCCUCUAUUUCCCCUCUGAUUUCUGACUGACCUCUGACCACUCCCUUCUUUUGUUGAUAUAUUUGUUUUUCAUUUGACUAACCAUCCCUUCAUCUCUCUGCCUAGAUAGAUAUCCCCCUCCCUCGGCUUUAUCGCAAGCCUAUCUGACCCUCACAUAUCUUUAUUCAACAGCCUGAUUUCAAAGCUAUCAAGCCCCAAUACUGCUGUAAGAAAGUCUGAUACCCGCCCUCCCCUCACCACCCCACCCUCAUUAUUGCAUUUGUCACACCCAAACUUUAGAUAAGUAGAAAUUAAAGGUGUACACACGGCCUCUUAUUAGUACACUCCUGCACUUUCUUACCCUAUAGAAUCUAAUAUUUACCCUACCUUCACCUGCUCUUGAUAUUUCAAUUAUUUCCAAUUUACUUUUUCCUAGUUUAGCAGUUUCUCUUCUUUAUUUCCUCCUUCUCCCUCAGUAUAAAAAUCUCUCCUUACACCCACUUCACUCAUCCUCCCAUCCACAUUUACAUAUGCCCUAAAUAUGCCCUCUCUGCUAAACCUCCCCCUUCUCUCAUCUCAUGCCUUGUACUCAUGUUUCUACUCUCUCACUCCUACCCACAAUCAAUCUCAACCCAUUCAUACAAAUCCCAUUCACACCUCCUUUCACUUUCUCUCCUCCUGCUUCUAGCAGCUGGUGGUGUCUCUCCCAAUCCAAGGCCAUUCACCUUCUCUACACACACUAAGAAAACUAGAAACCUCAUCACAAUACCCUGCCCUUUACCCUCACUUACCAACAUUCAGUGUGCACUCUGGAACGCCAGCUCCGUCCACAGUAAUUUAAAAUCAACAGCCAUACACAACUUUUUCAUCUCAAACUCACUCACACUAUUGCACUUACAGAGACCUGGCUGUCCCCCCCGAUAGCGCUACUCCUUGUUGGUGGGCUACAAUUCUCUCACACUCCCAGACUCAACUGUAAAGGAGGUGGUGUAGGCAUCCUUCUCUCCCCUCAAUGUACCGUUUAACCAAUCAUAACUCCCCCUGCCCUAUCCUUUUCUUCUUUUGAAGUUCUAUCUGCCUAUUUAAACCCACUCUCUUAAGAAUUGCUAUCAUCUACCGCCCCCUUGGUCAUCCUAGACUAUUUAUUGAGCACUUUUCUUCCUGGUUUCCCCACUUACUCUCAUCUAGCAUUCCUUCCCUUAUACUUGGGGAUUUCAAUAUCCUAAUCAACAACCCCAACUGCACUGAUGCCUCUCGUCUGCUCUCUGUAACCUCCUCCUUUGGCCUUACGCAAUGGUCCAGUUUAGCAACCCUUACAGCGGGAAACACUCUUGAUCUCGCCUUCACCAAUCUCUGUACCACCUCUAAUCUCUCCAAUAUUCUUUUUCCUCUAUCUGACCACCAUCUGCUGACUUUUGACAUUGGCAUACCUAAAGACCCAAUUGACACCACUGUCUGAACAUCAAUCUCACAGAAACCUCCAAUGUCUUGACCUAGAGCAUUUCUCCACUAAUCUCCAAACUUUUCUUAUACCUAUCUCAAACCUCACCUGUCCUAGCUCAGCAACCUCCUUCUACAAUUCCACCCUCUCCUCUCAAAUAGACAUCAUGGCACCUCCUACAUUUAAACGCAGCAACAACAACCUUGGCACACCAAGAUGACUCUAUACCUCCAAAAAAUCUCCAGAACUUCUGAACGCUGUUGGAGAAAGUCUCACUGUGCGUCUGACUUUCUCCACUAUAAAUGUAUGCUGCGCUCAUACAGCUUGGCCCUUUCCUCUGCAAAAGUAAAUUACUUCAAAACCCUCAUAACCACACUCUCCUGCAAACCCAAACGACUAUUUCACACAUUUAACUCUCUUCUUCGCCCUAUUGUUCCUCCUCCACCUACUAACUUGACUGCCAUAGACUUUGCAACUCACUUCACUGAUAAUCUCUCUACAUUCAGGGAAGAGAUCUCUCAUCUUUCUUUUUCCCCUUACAAUACUUCCCCUAACCUCACUCCCUCUGCUGUUCUAUGUUCAUUCGCAACCGCUACAGCAGAAGAGGUUUCCAGUCCUCCCGCCCCACCACCUGCUCCCUAGAUCCAAUUCCCUCGCAUCUCACCCAUGCUCGGUCUUCUUCUCUUUCUCUACCUCUCACUAAAAUUCUCAAUCUUUCUCUCUCCUCUGGCAUAUUUCCAUCUCUCUUCAAACAUGCAACUAUAACCCCAAUUCUAAAGAAGCCCAACCUUGACCUUUACUCCCCGUCCAACUACUGUCCUAUCUCGCUACUGCCUUUUGCACCCAAGAUCCUUGAAAAAGAUUGACAGACUUCCUCGAGUCCAACUCUCUGCUAGACCCGCUUCAGUCUGGUUUCUGCGCUAAGCACUCUGUGGAAACGGCACUGACCAAAGUAUCCAAUGAUCUACUCACUGCAAAAUCUCGUAGUCACUACUUUAUCCUAAUUCUCCUUGACCUUUCUGCGGCUUUUAACACUUCUCAUCCUCCGCAAUAUCGGUCUACAAGAUAUUGCACUCUCCUGGUGCUCCUUCUACCUCUCCCAGUGCUCUUUCAGUGUUUCUUUCCCUGGCUUUGCUUCUUCUCCCCAACUCCUCUCUGUUGGUGUUCCUUCAAGGUUCAGUCCUUGGUCCCCUACUGUUCUCCAUCUAUACUGCCUCCCUUGGUAAACUCCUUUGGCUUCUAAUAUAAUUUCUAUGCGGAUGAUACGCAAAUCUAUCUGUCCUCUCCUGACCUCUCCCCGUCCCUCUUGACUAGUGUCUCUGACUGCCUCUCUGCUAUUUCUAAUUGGAUGGCUGCCCACUUCCUUAAACACAACUUGAACAAAAAUGAAAUUCUGGUCUUUUCUCCUUGAAUGUUGCUACUCCUGUGCCUGUCUCCCUCCAAGUCAACGGUGCUACCAGCAGCUCCACCAUGCAGGCUCGCUGCCUAGGUGUUCUCUUUGACUCCGACCUCUCCUUCAUGUCUCAUGUUCAGUCUAUCGCCAAAACCUGCCGCUUCCAUCUCAUUAACAUUGAGGGCAUCCGACCCUACUUGACGCCAGAUGCGACUAAGGUCCAUUCCACUACUUGACGCUGCUGGUCCAUUCCACUGUCCUUUCUCACCUUGACUACUGUAAUCCGCUUCUCAGUGGGCUUACGUGCUCCCAACUUGCGCCGUUACAGUGCAUAAUGAAUGCGGCGGCGAGGCUCCUCUUCCUGGCCGUCCGCACCUCCCGGGCCUCACCCUUCUGUCAGUCCCUACAUUGGCUUCCUGUAAGAUAUAGGGGUAAAUUUAAAAUUCUGGUUCUUUCUUUCAAAUCUCUACAUAAUGCUGCUCCCACCUAUCUAUCCUCCAUAAUGCACAAGUAUGUGCCGUCUAGGCCCUUACGCUUUGCUGAAGACUUACGUUUAUAUUCCGUCCGUACUCCCACCUCUGAUGCUCGCCUUCAAGACUUCUUGAGGGCUGCACCGUUCCUGUGGAACUCACUUCCCUCCUCCGAGUGAUGCUCACCCAUUCAUCACUCCUUCAAAAAAAAAAAAAUCGAUUAAAGACCCACUUCUUCAUAAAAGCGUAUCAAUUAAUACUGUUAAUAGCUCCCGACUGAUUUCUCUUUUGCAACUGUCACUAGUCUAAUACUAUCCUUAUCUUUUGUGUCACUAUACCCCAGUCCCUCUAGCAUGUAAGUUCAUUGAGCAGGGCCCUCAAAUCAUCUGUUCCUGUGUGUCCAACUUAUCUGGUUACAACUACAUGUUUGUUCGUCCACCCACUGUAAAGUGCUGCAGAAUUUGUUGGCGCUAUAUAAAUAAUAACAUAAUAAUCCAUGAAAGUGAAUGUGCUUCCCAGGGAGACAAGUCUCAUAAACUGGGUGGUACAUGGUCUUCAAGGCAUCUCACCAAUUGUUCUGCAGCGCAGUACCUAGCAUACUUUAUAAACAUCAUAUGCUGUUAUUAUGCAUGACUCUCUCCUCUGAACCAGACAACUAGAAUCUUGAUGUUUUAAUGGAAAAGGGGAGAGGAUCUAAUUACAUCCCACUUACCAAAAAGCAUAGUCUUUGAGUUGCCACAGUUGAUCUUCGCUCCUGAAGCACUGCUGAAGUCAUCCCAGUUGACCAAAAGUGCUUUCCCUGCCGUGUGGUCAGAAGAUGGUGACAUUGUCCAUGUAGAUCGAUCACUUUAUUUGUUUUCCUCUGGUUCCUGGUACGGUGAUCCCUCUGAUCUCCAGGUUCUGUUCUGGUGGACUAGCUGAAGAGCGCUAUACAACAGACAAAAAGAAGAGUUGAAAGAGGGCAGCCUUGUUUGACCCCUGAUCUGACUGGGAACAGGUCAGUUUUCCAGCCAUUCACCAGCAUAGUACAUCAGGUUUACAAAGGAACAGAACACCUCUCCCAACCCAAAUCUGUGCAGGGCCCUGCUCAUAAAACUCAUGAGACACAUGAUCAAAGGCUUUCUCCAGGUCCAGACAGAUGUGUGCAGCCCAUACCUGUUGAUCCUUGAUGUAAUGGAUCCCUGUUGGUUGUUGGGGAGCUGGCCAUCUGGGAUGCCACAGAUCUAGUCAGGGUCUAUGAUCUACUCUAUGACCACCUUCAAUUUAGAAGCUAAAACCUUUGCCAGGAUCUUGUGGUUCACAUUAAGGAGAGAAAUUGCUUGUUUUUAAGGUUACAACUCUCUCCCUUCUGUUUAUACAAGAUCAUGAUCAUCCCCUCCCUGAGAGUGGGCAGCAUCUCCUCAUACAGGUCUGAACCAAUGAGGUCUCACAGCAAUAUGUACGACUGCCAGGAGACAAUCAUAGUCCAGCAUCCUGCCAGGUCUAAAGGCUUUGACAGCAGUGUGCAGCUCUCUGUGUCAAAAGGGCUUCUAGCAUGGGUUUCUCUGCUAAGAGAGUCAACCACAGACAAGCUCCUGGACAGAGUCCACCAUGAAAUCAUGCCUCCUGCACUAAAUUAGGACAGCAGUAUCCUGUUCCCUGCAGAGCAGAAGGGUCCAGUCCCUCAUCAGGUAGCAAUAGGACUUGGAGAAAGGGAUGGCACAUUCCUGCAACAUGAACAGAUCACAAUUCUAAGAAGCCAGGAGUCCUAGCACAGCAUGUCUACAUAACUUAUCCUUAAUACUUCUAACAUUAAUGGUGAUAGAAAUUGAUGCCAUAGUUAAUUAAAGAGAGGAAAGGACACUUUAUUGUCCAACAUGACUCCAUUAACAAUGUCUUACCCCUGUUGGGAGAGGCUUCUUCCUUCUCCUCCUCCUUGAUUUGUGAUAUCCUGAGGUGUUUGGGGCAUUUCCACUUCUACAGGCUUUAAUAGUCUCUGAAUAGUCAGUCUCUGAAUACUGUGGCUCUGGUACUGAGGCCGUCUUGCACGCCAUAGCUUCCCGGAUGAGUUCCUUUAUCUCUAGAUAUGCUGAAUCUGCAUGAGAGCAGGAAGGUUGUUGUUGGUGCCUUUUGUUGAGAGCCGAAGGGCAUGAGUCCACAAUUUCGUCAUGGCUCAGUUUUCAUUUCCACUGGCAGGAGUCUCGUAAUAGUUCUUUGAGGUGUGUGUCUGCAGAGGGGAGAAGAGGGUUAAAAGGGUCUGAGAUGGUGGCUAAAGCAGUGAGAAAGAGGGUUAAUAGUGCUGCAGUGGAGGAGGGAUAGAAUUAUGGGGGAAUGGGCAAGAAGGGAUGGUUGGAGGGGGGGGUUGGUGGAAGGGGUGAAGGUGGUGACAAGUGGAAGGGUAUUUUAGUUACCCUUCUUUUUUCCUUUCUUUUCUGUCCGCUUUAUGUCGAGGGUUAGAGCUGGGCCUGUUGGUGGUAAUCCCUUGCUUGCUACCGCUGCAUACCACCUCUUUGGGCAGUCCUUAUACAUGUGGGAGACUUACCCACAUAGAUUGCAGCUGGUUGUCCUGGGGCAGUCUUUGGUCUUGUGGCCCGUCACGUUGCAUAUCCUGCAUUGCAGUCCUUUUCCGGGUACCCUGGCUGGUUGGACUUCUGUCAGUUCUUGGGCUGGUCCAAGGUAGGUGUUGCAUGCCCACAUGGGAUGAUGGGUCCUUUUUCAGGCAGACCAUCAGGGACCAUAUUCCUGUCCAAAAUCCAUACUUUUCUGUGAUCUGGACCAGGUCUUUCACCACUGAGCAGAAUCUACUCAGAAAUGGUGCAAGGUUCCUCAUUGGCAGCGUCACUCCUUUUCUUUCUUUCUUGGGCAGCUCCCAACAAAUCAGAAUAGGGAGGAGUCCUGUUUGGCAGUAAGGAAAUGUUCCCAAUACAGAUUGCAGAUUGCCAUGGUGAGGAACAAUGUGAAAGAGCUCUCCUUACAAGACUGCACGUUUAGAGUCUCCACCAUGGUGAAUCCCUAGUUCAGGAUCAUCCCGGGAUUCUUACAUCCACCUCCUUCAGCUUCAAGGCCAAUGUUAUCUUCAUUCAAGCCUCUAGAGGGGAUGCUUUCACUGGGUGUGCCCUGCUUCCAUUACCAUUGCUGGUGGAAGAGGCAGUACCAGAGGCCUCAGCUGCCAUCCUCUCUGAGCGGGCUAGGAGAGGUUGAGAGAGGUUUGUGGAGUCACUAAACUGGGGUUUCCUCCUCCCAGGAAUUCCUACUGGGUUACCUCAGCUUUCUUCUAUGCAGGAGACCUUACUACCACUUCUUGGCUCUUCCCUCCUCUGCUAAAAGGUUGUGUUUCCUUGACUUACUUCUCCGCAGUAGGUCCUACAGUCCGGUCUUGACUUCCCAUUCUGCAGUGGGUUGCGCUGUCUUGCUUUGGAAACCUACUCUGCAGGAGAUCCUUAUUCCACUUUCACCUCUGCAGAAAAACUUAGGGUAAUGCCCAGUCUUUCUGAAUCACUGCAUUUAAUCCUUUGUAUGUUGCUAAUGAGUGAUCAGUGAUGGUUGUACUGGUAGUAGAUACUACUCUUGGUCUCAACCAAACUCCAGUUCGAUCCUUCCCCCAAUAGCAGCAGGUAGCUUAAGUCAGCAAGGGCAAUCCUACAAGGCCAAGGGAAGAUUCUCCCAAAAACAAGAACCCAACUUAGCUCAAAGGUGAGAAGCGAUGGGCCAGUUUAGAUUACUCUAGUUUUUGCUGUCAGUGUUUUCAACGUUUGAGUAACCAAAAGAUGGCGCUGUGUAUUAUUACUAGACAACAGUUAGGUUGCACAUUUGCUGCAAAGCUUGAAGAACCAGCAGAUGGCGCUAUGUGUGCUAUUACUCAUUUUCAACUCUGCAGACACGCAACUCUCCUUGUGCUACAAACCAACAGAUGGCGCUGUGUUAUACGCUUACAAGACAGCAGCCAGUUACACUAUACAUUUGCUGCAAUGCUUGAGAAACCAACAGAUGGCGCUAUGUGGGAUAGUACUCCUGCAGCGAGGUAGUUAUAAUGGGAGCAGUUAUCCCCCAUUGCUACAUUCCAGGGUACUAUGCAGAAUCUUACUCGAAAUGUCCAGAUUGAAAAAUAAAGCAAAAUGCUUAUCAUACACAAGUGUAUUGCAGUGCACCCAUAUUCCUGCAAUCAAUGAAACGAUACAGUGAUUCAUAUCCCUGCUAUGGUACUCUGAGUGUUAAAAUACCUUUUUUAUUAAUACUUUUACACAGACUUAAGCGGUGAAGAUAUUACUGCGUUGUCUCCUCAACAGAGCAGUGGACAAGAUUUUCUAGUGACAUUGAUGUAAAACAGAUAAAAAUAGUAUAUUGCAAUACUGUUUUUAUUGGACCAAUAGAACUUUGGAACCACCUUUUGGGAGAUCCGCCCUUUCUUAAAAGAAUCUCCAGAAAGCUUGGCAUUUAAAAAACAAAAAUGUUAUUCUUUUAAAACUGGUAUUUUCAUGUGUUUAUAUCACUGCAGUAAUACAGAUAAAAGAUUUACUCCAAUGCAUGUGUCACUGCAAAAAGUAAAAGCAUGAUAAAACAGAGUGGAAAGGGAAGCAUUUAUUGAUUUUAGAUUGCAAAAUAUAUAUCCUUUAGUAAUGAGAAUGUCUACAAGAAUAUUUCUUCUUCCAACAGCCACUAACCCAAUACUGGUUAAUUGAUCUUCAGGCAACAGAGGGCGCUGUAGACCAUGUCAGUACAUUAUUGCCAAGUCUUGCUAUACUGCACAUGGGCUGCGAAGAUUGAUCAACCAACAGAUGGCGCCUUUGUAAGACUUUUAUUUUACCAUUAUUUGUAAUGGCUGUUUUUCCCCUGGGAAUAAAAACCAAACGCUUCACUGAGCAGCGUGGCUUUCCCCAGGGCAAACAUACCAACAGGACACUCCUUGUACCAUAGCCACUACAGUGGGCUGCGGUGCUUGGAGUGUUCCUGCAAAUUCUGUUCUCUAUCAAUGAUUAGAUUGGCUCCUGUGUUUAUCACAUAUCGUAUUUCAUCCCAUUAUUCCAUUAUUGCUUGUUUCCAACACUAUAUAAAGACCUAAAGACACCAAGUAGUUAUAUACAUAUAUUUGAUACCUGUGUUUGAAUCACAGGCUCAGUUGCUGAAGAUGGUCACUCUUUCUGUGUUUUUAACUAAUUAAAUGGCAAUGUAGAUAUUUUAGUACUUAUAUAGCAGAGAUAUCAGGACACUUCUGACACCAUAACCACAACAGCAUGAUAGGUCUUGGUGCUUUGAGUGUUCCUUUAAUGUCCUCUUUCCUGUACAGAACAAAUUAUCCGAUUGCUAUGAUAUAUCAUUCAUACUAAGCCUUAGCCUGCCAUACCUAAACAUGCAUCAGAAUUUGUGGUUACUGGGGAAUGGUGCCAGGGUACUCCUACCUUUUUUUUAACCUCUACAGCAUGUUUUAGUGGAUAUGAUUAUUGGCGUUGCCCUUUUAGUAACUCAAAAUAAAAUAAAAAAUAUAAUACAGUAUGGAAAUUUUUUUUACAGCAUCUAAGGUAUAAUGUAUACAUCCACUCACUUAGAAAUAGAUAUCAAAACUGAUGUUCUAAAAAUGACUCUUCUUUGACCAGAAACCCUACUGAUUAACCGGUUAAAGACCAAUAAAUCUAUAUUGUCAUAAUCUUAUUGAUUGUCAUAAUUUAUUUUUACGAAUUCUAUUCUAGAAUGGAAUUACCUAGUUUAGUGGCUGAAUGGAGUUGCCAAAGAUUAACAAGAAAGAUAUCCAGGAUGGCAGUUUGUAUUUAGAAGUCUUAAACAGUUUUUGCCAUUGCUAUAGUGUUGCACUUGGUCCACAAGAGACUAAUUGGGUUUAAUAUUGAUCCUCAACCAUCAGCCUUGAUUUAUUAUUUUUGGAAUACGAUUUCAAAAUGAUUUUUUAAAGAUUAUUUUAAAACUUUAAAGAAAUGCAAAAUAAAAAUAAAGUUCAGAAAUAAAUUUUAAUAAAUCAAUGUGUGUAUAUAUAUAUAUAUAUAUAUAUAUAUAUAUAUAUAUAUAUAUAUAUAUAUAAACCACUUGAAAAGCGUAUAAAAAAUUCAUUGAAUCGAGGCAAUAUUUGUGCUUGAUUUUUCAUCUUAAUUAUUUUAGCCAUGUUGUCAAUGUGCUUGCAAAGUUUGAGUAACCUUUAAACUAUUGUAUCAACCAACAGAUGGCGCUGUGUGUGAUGGUACAUGAAGCAGCCACUCAUGCUGCACAUUUUCUGCAAACCUUGAAGAACCAACAGAUGGCGCUGUGUGCGACAGCACGCUUUAUUACGCAGAAGCCAGUCAUUCUGUACAGUUGCUGCAAAGAUUGAGAAACCAACAGAUGGCGCUGAUGAGAUUACUCUUAUUUGUAAGCUGUCUGCAAACGUGCUACAAAGUUUCAAUAACAAUAACUGCUGGUAAUAUUUGUUCCAUACAAUAAAGCCCUGAGAGUUAUUUAUUUAGCAAAAAACAUUCGAUCAACAAUAGCCAGUUUCGAAAAUGAUCCCUUUACAAUUACAAUAGCAUUUUAUAUAUACACAUUUUAAUGUAGUUUGUAGCUUUGACAACUAUAUACAAUGAAGAAACUUAAAACCUAAAAUACAUUUUAAAAAACUGACAAACACAGAAGUGAAAAGUGUCCCCGAGGCUGACUGCCCUUCUAGUAAUUUCACUGAUACUCUAACAUAGAAGCAGUAUUCUUCGUUCAUGCAUCCUAGAGUAUUAUGCAGAAUCUGACCCAAAAGCGAAAUACAUUUUACGAAUAAUGCAGUAGCACCUCUCGUCUCCCAUAAAACAAGUGUUGUAGUGCAGUUAACAGGUGAGAGAUAAAGUGAUACGUAUCCCUGUUAUGAUUCUGUGUAUAAUUAAAAAUUAAAUAAGGUAGGAACACUCAAUAUGAAAUAUAUGCAAGCUCCCAAGAGGGCUCUAUGAAAAUACAAUAUGGGGUGCUCACUCACAUAAGGCUUUAUCCCCAAAAGCCCAAAUACAUAUAAAUAACAAUGGAGUAAGGAGCACAACCAUCAAUAGUAAUAAAACAAUCUUUAUUAAGUGGGCAUGGCCACGCAUACGCAUUAGGUCUCCUCAGCCGGCAGCCAGGUCUCGCCCACCGGCUGAAGUAAGGAAGAGGAGGAGCGGCGGUGAGCAGAAACCACCACCGAGGGACAUCGGCGGGGGUCUCAGGUAAGUGACUGAAGGGGUUUUCACCCAUUCAGCAACCAGGGAUGGGGGUGGGAGGGAGAGGGGACCCGCAGUGCCAGGAAAACGGAUUGUUUUCCAGGCACCGGAGUGUCCCUUUAAAGAGUUAAACACAUAUUUCUUUCUUUUUCUCUUUUUCUUUUUUCUUUUUACAGUGUCAAUCAUUUUUUUUUUCACGAUAGUACCUUCUCUCUCACUGUGUGAUUUUUCUGUUUAUUUUAAUACAUUAAUAAAAGAUAAGUUUAAAUUACAUAUACCUGAGGGCAAUUUCGUAUUUAGUAAAUCCACUUUAGGUUUCUUACUAAUAUGUUAUGCAACUAAAAUGUAAUUUCAAACUGCCCUAACAUACUCUCAAUCUAAGAAGAACAGAAAGAAAAACACAAGAAAAUGAAACAUGUUAACGAGGGGUAGUGUAUGAUACCUGUGUUUAGUUAAGGGGAUACUAUAGUGCCAUGAAUACAAAGCUGUAUUCCUCUAAGUAUUGCUCCCUGCUGCCUCCCCCUCUCUCACUGUUAAGUAAAGGAAACCAUUUAUCUAAUUACCUUUUCCCAGCGCCAACAUCCCUCAGCGCUGGGUGGACACUCUGCCCCCUCCCACGUCCUGCGAGCGGGCGCUGAUGCACGUCAAGUACUGCUCGCGCAUUAGACCUCCCCAUAGGAAAGCAUCGAUUCAAUCUGACGCUGAAUGUCCUCAUGCAGAGCGUGAAGUCAGAUACCGGCCCCAAAGUCCAUUUGAUCCAGGAAGCCCCCUCAGUGGCUUUCUGGGAGACAGCCACUGGAGGCAGAUUUUGAGUUGCAAUGUAAACAUUGCAGUGUUUCUGGAACAGCAAUGUUUAAUAUUACAGCACUAAUUGCUAAACAGACAGCGUAACCACACCACUUCAAUGAGCUGAAGUGGUCUGGGUGCUUUUAGUGUCCUUUUAAUUGUAUGAGAGUAGAGUCAACGUAGAGUGUGAGUGGACUGUUUUGUGGGGAAACACAAGGGGCUGGCUGCACUCACCUGAACAUGCUUAAAUGGGGUGCUGCUGGGGGCCAAUAAGUACAGUAAAAAUGAAAAUCCAGCGCACUCCCUUAUCUACUAAACAGCUAGUUUGGUGCUGACAGAUUUUGCUAGUUUUAUUAAAAACACAUAAUCUAGGCAAAAAAUAAUUGGGGUUCAGUUACAUUAUAUGAUCAUACAUUGCAAAAGCCUGCCACAACGUCAAUGCACCCCAUCUUUGGCCUGUCCUACUAUUAAAACCAACUGUCUUCUAAAUGAGCUACUCACUUGGGGAAAUCCUUCCAUCUGGAGUUCUCUGCAGUAAAAGGCUAAAUAGGGUCCUGAGAUAAGGCCCAUGUGACAGGGAGGGGUGCAAAAUUAGCUGAAGUGCUUUUAGUGUCCUUUUAAUUGUGCGCGAGCAGAGAGUAGAGUCAAUGUAGAGUGUGAGUGGACUGUUAAGUGGGGGGUGUAAUUGUUAUCAUGUGAAAUGUUACCCAGGAAGAUGGUAAGGUUUCUUAAAGAGGUGCAUUUUUUAAUGAUUUCUUAAAAGACAUAUCCCUACAAUGUCAAUGGGAGUAACUUAUUGCCAUGCCUUCAUAUGCCUAUAAGAUAGAUCAGUACACAAGCACACAACUUAUUUAACUGGUCAAGGAAGACAGGUGAAGGUUUUUUUUUUUUUUUCUUGUGUUGCAUUAGAGGAAUAAAACAAAAUUCCUGGCUAAUCAUGGCAGCAUUUAACAUAUGGGUUAGCUCCUCCCUCCAGCCAAUAGGACAGGAAUACCAAUUAAAGAAUUCAAUUAUCCCUGAGGUAUAAGAGAUCCCAGAAUAUAAGGUUCCUCAGUCUUUUUUUUUCCUGUUCUCCUAGCCAGACAGGACAGCUUGUAUUUAUUACAAAAGACUUUGUUUUAUGCUCACCUGGCUAUGUAUUUCAGCCUUUUAUUCCCUAAGAGGUCAGCCUCCCUCUGUAGGCAGACCAGGUACAUGCAAUCCAUCUCUUGGUAGCCAGAAGAGUUAAUGUUCCUCCGGCAUCCUGUUGAGAUCUGCUGCAAUGCCUGUCCCUGCCAGAUUUCCGGUUCAGAGACUCAGGACGCAUGCGCGUUUAAAGAAACAGCACCUUAUUUCUAUUUAAAGGGGAAAAGUGCGUUGUUUUUUUUCUGCCGCAAAAUUCAAAUCCUUCAAGAAGGUGUAAGCUGCUCUCUGGCCCACGACAGAAAACUGAGCAUACUGUCAAGCAUUCUAGAAUUUCAAGUCGAAAGAAUGACUACAGCAAGAAAGGGCAUGAGGAUCAUAGGUUCCCUUUCCUCCAUGAUUGGCCUAGUGUGAUGGGCUCAGUGGAACCUCCGCCCUCUACAAGAAUACUUCCUACAGGAGUUCGAUUCAGGCUCCCAGGAAUGGGAGAUGAAGAUGUCCGUUCCGGAUCAUAUAAAAAUAUCCCUCAACUGGUGGCUUUCUUGGGAAAACCUAUCCAAAGUGUUCCCUCUGAGGGAGGUGGACUGGAUGAUUAUCACCACGGAUGCCAGUCAAGAUGGUUGGGGUGCACAUCUGAAAGACCACUUUGUUCAGGCGCUAUGGCCCCUGCACACCCGUCAUCUUUUUUCAAAUAUAAAGGAACUGAGAGCAACCUUUCUAGCUCUUCUACACUUCAAGUCUCUCAUUCAGGAUCAAUGGGUGAAGCUGAGAAUAGACAACAGGGCAGUUGUAGCGUACAUCAACCAUCAGGAAGGUACCAGGAGUUGUGCACUGAUGAAGGAGAUCGAGCCAAUCAUGAUUUGGGCACAGAGGACUCUAGCCAGUCUCUCUGCCUUAUACCUUCCUGGGAAGGAGAAUACGAUUGCAGACUUCCUGAGCAGACAUCAAGUGAAGGAGACAGAAUGGAAGCUAUCCGAUUUGGCCUUCCAACAACUGGUAAUGAAGUGGGGGCUCUCACAGGUGGAUUUAAUGGCCACUGCUCAGAAUACUCAUCUUCCAUGCUUCAUGUCAAGGAGAUUUCACCCACUGGCAUAUGCUCAAGACUCCCUUUCAUCAAGAUGGCCGUUUCAGCUGGCAUAUGUAUUCCCUCCGAUUCAGCUCAUUCUGAAGAAAAUCUCCAAAUAGCGAUGCAAGAUAAUAGCUAUCAUCCCGUUCUGGCCCUGUCGUCCAUGGUUUCCCCUCUUGAAGAGUCUGUUGAUAGACGAACCAUGGGAAAUUCCAGUCUUCUGGGAUCUUCUGUCUCAAGGACCUCUAGUACACCCAGAGCCACACAAACUGCGUCUUCAUGCAUGGCUCUUUAAAGGCAAUCCUUAAGCGAACAGGGUUUUCUGGAAGAGUUGUUUCCACCUUGCUACGUUCCAGAAAAGCUUCUACCUCCUCUACAUACUAUAAGACAUGGGGGGCCUUCGCGGAUUGGCUUCAUAAAGAUGUGAAGGAUUUAAAGUCCCCUUCUAUUUCCCAGAUUUUGGGAUUCUUACAGGCUGGGUUGGAUAGAGGUCUAAGUCUGAACACCCUUAAGGUUCAUUGUUCUGCUAUUUCUGCCAUGUCAGGUAUCAGAUGGGCUUAAAACCCCAUGGUAAUCCGCUUUAUGAAAGCAGUUCUUAGGAUUAGACCACCGAUCCGGGUUUACAAGUGUCCCUGGGAUUUAUCUUUGGUCUUACAGGCCUUGAUGGAGCAGCCUUUCGAACCGUUGGACGAUACCCCUAUGUUAUCCCUGACUCAAAAGACUCUACUUCUAUUAGCCUUAGUUUCAGCUAGAAGGAUGGCGGACAUAAGAGGUCUUUCGGUAGAAGAACCUUAUACCACUUUCUAUCAUGACAGGGUCAUUCUCCGUCCCAGACCAGAAUUUCUACCUAAGGUGGUCUCUCCUCUUCACAUAAACCAAGAAAUAGUUCUUCCUGUCUACUUCCAGAAUCCGUCAAACGAGAUGGAAGAAAAGUUUCACAUGUCUUUUGGUCUACAUUCAAUGUACUAAGGAUUGGAGGAAGUCUCCUCAACUCUUUGUUGUCCCUUGGGGCUCCCGUAAGGGUGAAGCGGCCUCUGUUUCUACCCUCCGUUCCUGGACUGUUUCCUCUAUUUCAAGAGCUUACAAGGUCUGAAGAGUCCCAGUUCCAAAAGGUAUAAGGGCACACUCUACCAGAUCGAUUGCCAGUUCAUGGGCUGCAGAGUCUGGAGUAUCACCAGACAGCAUUUUUGGAGCGGCUAACUGGUCUUCUAUAAGGACAUUUAUUAGUCAUUACAAACUCGAUAUUUCUUCGGAUUCUAACCUGCAAUUUGGACUUUUGGUUCUUAACUAUUGUUCUUCUCAAAGCAAAUAAAAAUUUCUAGGCAUCUAUUCCCUCCCUGUGGUAUUUACUGCUUGGGUAUUUCCCAUAUGUUAAAUGCUGCCAUGAUUAGACAGGAAAGAGGAAAAUGUAUUCAUACUUACCGUAAUUUUCUUUUCCUGGCUAUUAUUCAUGGCAGCAUUUGGGUUUCCCACCCCUUUAUUAAGUCGGAUCAGCUUGCUACUAGACUGAGGAAUCUAGUAUUCUGGGAUCUCUUAUACCUCAGGGAUAAUUGAAUUCUUUAAUUGGUAUUCCUGUCCUAUUGGGAGGAGCUAACCCAUAUGUUAAAUGCUGCCAUGAAUAAUAGCCAGGAAAAGAAAAUUACGGUAAGUAUGAAUAAAUAUCCCUUAUUCCUGAGUCAAAAGUGGAGUUUAUGGAGCGUGGCCCAUAUGAACAGAAAAUCUUGGCGGGAAACAGUUCUUUCGGACGACGACUGUAAAUAUUGAUCCUAAAACCAAGAGGGCGCUGUGUGAGAGGGAUUUCUGUGUAGUUAUCGACCCUUAACCAACUGAGGGCGCCAAGUGUAUGAUCACUGUAUUAACAUCGCCUCCUCAACCAGAGGGCGCUGUGUGGUGACGGCUGUGUAAAACAUCGAUCUUCAACCAACAGAGGGCGCUGUGUGUGAUGCAUGUGUAAACAUCGAUCUUCUCAACCAACAAUGCGGCGCUGUGUGUGGUGAUUUCCGUGUAAGCAAUCUCGCCUUCUCCUCAACCAACAGAGGGCGCUGUGUGGUGAUGGCUGUGUAAACAUCGAUCUUCAACCAACAGAGGGCGCUGUGUGGUGAUGGCUGUGUAAACAUCGAUCUUCAACCAACAGAGGGCGCUGUGUGGUGAUGACUGUGUAAACACCGAUAUUCAACCAACAGAGGGCGCUGUGUGGUGAUGACUGUGUAAACACCGAUAUUCAACCAACAGAGGGCGCUGUAUUCGUGAUACUGUUAUAACAGUGCGCCCGUGACGUAGGCUGUGAGGUUUUAACAAACCAAUAGAUGGCGCCACCUAACACAACUUCUUAAAAUUAAAAGGGAUUUUUUUUUUUUUAAGAAAAUACAUCUUAUAAUUAAUACUUGUUACUAUUAUUUAUGAUACUAGCUGUUCUCCCUUGCCAGUGCACGGUGUUUGGUUUCAGUAAACCAAGCAAUGUGACUUCAAUCAGGUCCCAUUGCUCAUUCAUUACAGCUGCGGCCUUCCUGGAAGCUUGGCCCUAACGAGGGCAAACCUAGGUUAGCAAAUUACCCCAAGGAAAGUGAUAAUGGUGGAAUGAUGUACUUAUUGAAUUACUGCAGGAAAACCAUCUGAAGUCAUAUAAGCUUCCUCACCUCUUGUCAACCUUAUUUUGUAUAUCUAUAGAUUUAUAUCCCCAAUGUGUAAUGGGAUAGAGCUUUGGAAUAUGUUGGUAUUUUAUAUAUGGCAAUUACUGAAAAUACUCAUCGAUCUUCAACCAACAGAGGGCGCUGUGUAAAGUGAUAGCAACCUGCUUUUGGCUGUACAAUGUGCUGCAAAGGAAGUAACCAACAGAGGGCGCUAUUUAAAGUGAUAGCAACCUGCUUUCAGCUAGUCCUGCUGUACAAUGUGCUGCAAAGGAAGUAACCAACAGAGGGCGCUGUGUAGAGUGAUAACCUGCUUUCCGCUAGGCCUGCUGUACAAUGUGCUGCAAAGGAAGUAACCAACAGAGGGCGCUGUGUAAAGUGAUAAGUGUGAGAAAACAAAAGAGGGCGCUGUGUGUGAUUAUUUUUCUGAUAUCUAAUCUGCAAAGUUUGAUCAACCACAGAUGUGUGUGUGAGGGCUAAUGGUUAGUUUUAACAAUGCAUUUAGAAAAUAUCAUUCAUGACUUAAUGAUGGAAUACAUAACAUAACAUAACCUAUUACUGCACACACACAUUUCACAACUCAUCAAGUGUGAAAGACAGGUGGGUAAAAAGUUUUAUUCUUUUGUUUUUUUGUGGCAUUAAUAAAGGAAAAUCAAGCUAAAACUCCUGAGUCUGAAGUGCAUGUGAAAGUGAUUUUGGUAAUUUAGAAAGUGUUUACCUGAAUAUUAAGCUCUUUGCAAACUAGUGAUGGAAAUUAAUGGAACUAUUCUAUCAUAAAAAUUAACCAUAAUUAAAUAAUUCCAUCAUGUGCUAAAAUUAACUCUAAAUCUCCUUGAUUGAUCACUGGGUUAGCUGUUGCUGGACAGCAAGUGAUCACAAAUGGACCAUGUGAGUGAUAGUCUCAGUGCUGCGAGGACUGAUCUGUAUUUUUUUUUUUUAUUCUGCUUUCAAGAGUGAACACACAGGAAAUAUGUCAAAGAGGUUCUGAAGAAGCUGUGGCCUUUUUUUUUUUUUUGUGCUUUUACAGAGUGAAGAUUUCUUACAUGUUCUAAUCCUUUAACUAUAUGUGUGCUUAAUUUGAUUGACAUUCUCCCAUAGCUGUAUUGAAAGAGACCAAGAGUUCAAGAGGUUCUGCAGCAGCCAUGGCCUUGUGUGUGAUUCAUAGUGACGAUUUCUUACAAGAUAUCCUUGGACUAUAUAUCUCUAGACUGUAAGCUCGUUUGAGCAGUGUACUCUUCAACCCAUUGUUCCUGUACGUUUUUGUAAUUGUCUCAUUUAUUGUUUAAUAUGUUGGCGCUAUAUAAAUGCCAAUAAUGAUAAUAUAUGUGUACUUGUUUUGAUUUAGAUUCUCAAUAGCUGUGUCUGUGUGUCCAAGCAGUUCUGCAGCAGCUGUGGCUUUUUUUCCUCAUUUUAUUGAUAUGAUUACAGAGUGAAGAUUUCUAAUAAUGAUAAUAAUAUAUGUGUACUUGUUUUGAUUGACAUUCUCAAUAGCUGUGUUCAAUGUGUCCAAGCAGUUCUGCAGCAGCUGUCUUUUUCUUCUUUUUUUUUAUUGGUAUGAUUACAGAGUGAAGAUUUCUAACAUAAUAUAAUCUUUGGACUAUACAUGUGCUUAUUUUACUGUUGCAGGUAAGAGUCGUCUGUAGGAAAAGGUUUCUCAUUGAACAAGGUUUGAUUUCUUGUUGCUAAACGGUA
rnacentral:lncRNA from 1 species